CUAUACUAUCUAGAGUACCGGAACUCCGGUACUAUAGUCUCGUUUUCGAUCUUAGGAUGUUCAAAUCAACGAUCUACACCGUUAAAACUGAUCUAGGGUUUUUAAAGUUUUUAGAAAUAAAAUUUUAUAUUUUUUCGACAUAGUUUACUUUAUGAUCAAACCAUUUCAAAAUUGUCAAUUUUCAAUGGCUACUAUGGCUAGUUUGGAGUUUAACGGUGUAGAAGAAUCGAAAUUUCAUCAAAUUUUGAUAGAAAAAACUUUAAACUAUUCAGAUUAAGGUUAACAUUCUUGAUCUUGAAUUUAAAAAUCCUAUGCUCAAAUUUUAAAGAUUAUUCAAUUUCACCGUCCAUUUUGACAUAAUUUAUUUACUAAGUAAAUGAUGUAAAAAAAAACUAAAAUUUUAUUUCUAAGAACUUCAUAUACCCUAGAUCAUAUUUAACGGUAUGGAUCGUUAAAUUGAACACCCUAAGAUCGAAAACAAGACUAUAGUACCGGAGCUCCGGUACUGUAGAUAGUAUAGUAGCCUAAUUAUAUAUAUAUAUAUAUAUAUAUAUAUAUAUAUAUAUAUAUAUAGAAUUAGGCUACUAUACUAUCAAUAGUAUCAAGCCCUUGGUACUAUUGAGUUUUCGGCCGUUGGAUGAAAAGAUGUGUGGUUAGGAUGAUAGUGGUCCCCUAGGGUUGAGUAGGUGGUUGCUUUAAUAGUAUAAUCUAACGGGUGAAAAUANUUGGUACUAUUGAUAGUAUAGUAGCUGGACUCUCUCUCUCUCUCUUUCUCUCUCUCUCUCUCUCUCUCUCUCUAUAUAUAUAUAUAUAUAUAGUAUAUUCAUAUAUAUACAGUGUUUGAAAAGGCGCAAGGCGCAAAGAGGCACCAGAUUCUCCUGGAGCCUAGGCGCAAGGCGCAUUGCGAAGCGCGCGCCUCAAGAAGGCGAGGCGCACAUUUACUAAGCCUAAUUUAAUUUAAUAUAAUAUUCUACAUUAAAAAACCUAAAAAUAAUCAUACAAAAAUAAGAUAACCAUCAAAAGUAAAGAAAACACAUGCAUAUAGGUUCUUAAAUUAAAAAAUAUAUAUAUAUUUCAAUUUUCAACUUAAAAAUUAUAACUGAUUGUAGUUGCUACUGCUGCUUGUUCUUGCUGCUAUUGCUCCUGUUUUUCCUGCUGUUGCAACAUGCAAACUUCUGCUGCUCUUGCUUUCUUGCUAGUUGCUACUGCUGCUACUGCUUGCUUGUUUGAUUGUUCCUGCUGCCAGCGAUGGCCGAUGUUGCUGCUGGAUGCCCACGAAUAGAGAAAGGAUGUGGGAACAUGAGUGGGAGAGGAGAGGGCGGACGAAUGGGUUUCACUAGGAUUUUUUUUUAGGAUCUUUUAACUAUCUUAUCGGGUUAAAAUAUAAAACUUAAAUUCGAAACCCGACAACCCAAAAAAAUUAAACCCAAACCAAUAUAAUAAUAAAUAUUGCUAGNCUAAUACUUAAGUUUUCGACCCUUAGAUUUAUUCUAUUGAUCAUUUUCACCCGUUAGAUCAUACUAUUCAACCAACUACCCACUCAACCCUAGGGAACCACUAUCAUUUUAAGUGGGGGCCACCAUCAUUCUAACCACACAUCUCAUCAAUCAACGGUUAAAAAUUUAUUAGUACAAGGGUGUCUAUACUCAUAAAAGUAUAGUAGCCCCAGCCUAUAUAUAUAUAUAUGUAUAGAGUUCAGCUACUAUACUAUUAUGAGUACGAUCGCCCUCAUACUCAUAAGUUGUUUUCGAUGAUAGAGCUUCCGAAUUUGACGAUCCACACCGUUAAACGUUAUCUAGAGCAUUUGAAACAUCUAGAAAUCAAAUUUCAUAAUUUUUCGACAUCAUUUACCUUACGAUCAAAAGCUCACAAAAUUGACAAUUUUUAACGGCCGGUAUGGAAUACUUGCUAGUUUAACGGUGCAAAAGAAUCCGAAUAGGUUGAAUUUUUGAUAGAAAAUUCUAUUCACUACCUAGAUAAAGAUCAAUAACUCCGAUCUUAAAUUGAAGGAUCCGAUCAUCCAUUUUUAAGACAUCGUUCGAUUUUGACCGUUCAUUUUAUGCCCGCUUGAUGGACUUUAUUAUGAUUUCGAAAAAUUACGAAAUUUAUUUUCUAGAAGUUUCAAAUACUUUAGAUCAUAUUUAACGGAGUGGAUUGUCGAUUCGGAAGCUCUAUCAUCGAAAACAACUUAUGAGUACGAAGGGCCCAAUACUCAUAAUAGUAUAGUAGCCCUCUAUAUAUAUAUAUAUAUAUAUAUAUAUAUAUAUAUAUAUAUAUAUAUAUAUAGAGUUCCACUAUGGUGCUUGUAAAAGCACCAAGCACUUGGUACUUGUAAAUUUUUUACUAUUAGAUCUACGCUUUUGAUCAUUUUCACCCGUUAGAUUAUACUAUUCAACCAACCAUCCACUCAACCCUAGAGGGUCCAUAUCAUCCUAACCGCACAUCUCUAUAUAUAUAUUUGACAGAUUGUGUGGAAACUUAGACUGUCUUAACUUUCUGAAAAUAUGCUGAAUGAAGCAUUAUAUCUACACGUCAUGGCUAUUUUCUCCCUCUUAUUUGAGUCUAUUCUAAUCUGCUUGUCAUGCUGGGGUUACUCACAAGAUGGCAAUGGCUUUAAGACAAGUACUAUGAGAUUAGGUGCUGAUGUGAUUGUUUUCUCUCGUGCAAGCCGUGAAAGGUGAGAAUUGUUUAUUUUCCAUUUCUCAUAAAUAGUAUAACUGUUCUACUAAUCCUCCCUUUUAUUAAUGAAACUAUCCUCAGCUGUUAUACAUGGCUGAUUUUACAUGCUAAUGUGUCAGCAUCUAGUACCCUGUUCAUUUGAAACCAACCGAGAAAACCACAACCCCCCACUUAUGCAAAUAUUGUAAAACCUCGUGUGUCCGUGAUUGCAUUUAUGCGGCUUUAUUUAGGUGAAAGUUUGUGCGAAAUGAAUAACGAAGUGCUGUUGUUCAUAACAAACAUCCACACCCCCCACAAACAAGAAAAAGAAAAAAGGAAAAGAAAAAAAGGUAUCCCCCCUGUCGCUCUUAUGCAUAGGCUAUAUAAAACAUCAUACGUCUUUGAUCGCAUUCAUGUGGCUUUACGUAGUAGGUGAAAGUUUGUGCCGAAUGAAUAAUGAAGUGCUCUAAUUUUUCUUUUUUUUCCCCUUUUUCCUUCCUUUAUCUUCCUUUUAAGUAAUUGAGGGUUGGCGUCUGAGAUUUUUUCAAUUGGACAUUGAAAUGUUUUGUUUUGUUCACCUUCUAAUAAUUUCUCGCUCUAUGCUAAUAUGUCUUCAGGAGUACUCAUUUCAUUGUCAUGCAAACUUUCUAGUUGCUGCAUCUCAUAUCCCUGAGAAUCCAAUAAUCAUGGUUGCUAUAACGAAUCAGAUUUUAGCUAGUUAUGUUGGUGGUACUAUUGCAACCAAAUUUCUAACAAUGGGUUCAGUAUCCAAGGUUGUUGUUUUUGAUGCUAGGACUGCUACGCCAGGAAGUUUGUCAAAUAAACUGAGUUGAUCUGGGUCUAGUAAUGACUUGGAAAACAACAAAGCAUGGGGGAUUGUGCUUUUUUAGUUGAAUCACAAGUUAAUUCACGGUAUAGAUUUUGUAAAAAUAAUGUAGCCAUGAAUUAAAGAUGCUCGUUUUUCUGGUCUGAUCGAGGCUUACCAUUGCCCAUUUCAAUCCCAUCUGAUCUAGGUGGCUAGUUUGCAGUUUUGGUCUUGACGCUAAUAAUAUCCUCCAGCUUCCAUUAAGGUCUAUGAUAGUUCUAUUGCAUAUCUUAUCAUUCAAAAUUUACAAUGUUCUCUCUUGUUUGUUUACGUUAUGCAAGAAUCUAUGUUCUUGGUAUUAUAAUUUAGCGCUAUAAUAAUUGUUACUGAUCUAAUAUUUUGGUUUUACUUCUAGCCAUGAAACAAUGAGUAUUGGCUUGCUAUCAUAUACAUUUUUGAGAAGGAUGAUGAAAGAUGAUAUAAUUGUCCCUAUGGUAAUACAUUGUUGUUCAACUGCCUUAUCUUUAUGCGGAAGUUGUUUUUGCGCGUUAUUUACUUUUUUAUUUAUUUCCAGCUUGAUUACCAAAUUCAAGGAGGCCACAUUUUACCUUUAGUCUACAGUUCACAAGAUGAUUGGGAUAGUAGCUUGAAAACAAUCCUUGAUUGGUCUCCCUUUUCUUCAAAGGAGGAACUUUUGCUUCAGGUUCUUAUAUACAUUCAAACCAUAUUGGUGUUAUUUUCUGUAUAUAUAUAUAUAGCGAGAGAGAGAGUUGAGUUGGAAUGCUAUCAGUAGCAAACGGGUUCCGUUGUCAUCCAUUUGUUUUCGAUGAUAGAGCCUCCAAAUCGACGAUUGGCACCGUUAAAUAUGAUCUAUACCAUUUGAAGUAUCUAGAAAUUAAAUUUCAAAUCUUAUCGACAUCAUUGGCCUAAUGAUCAAAGGGUUUCAAAAUUUGUAAUUUUAAUGGUUGAUAUAAGAUGUUUUCUCAUUUAACAGUGUAAAGAUAUCUAAAUCAAUUGAAUUUUGGUUAGAAAAACUUUAAACUAUUUAGAACAAGAUCUAUACUCUUGAUCUUGAUUACAAGACUAUCAUCUCUUUUUAAAGGAUAUUCAUAUUCAGCCGUUCAUUUUUGUGUCCAUUUGAUGGACAAGAGAAUAAUAUCAAAAAAAUAUAAAAUUUGGUUUCUAGAUGCUUUACGUGGUAUAGAUUAUGUUUAACGGUGCUGAUUGUCGAUUUGGAGGCUCCAUCAUCGAAAACAAAUAGGUGGCAACAGAGCCCGUUUGUUACCGAUAGCAUUCCAGCCCAACUCUCUCUCUCUCUCUCUCUCUCUCUCUCUCUCUCUAUAUAUAUAUAUAUAUAUAUAUAUAUAUACACCUUUCAUUGGGUACUUGUAGAGGGUAUUUUUCAGUUCCAUCUUUUGUCAGGAUUUUGUUGCAGAUUUAGCUCAAAGACUUUGACAACAAAAUAAAUAUAGAUUAUGUAUUUGGAUGUGAAGCACUUAUAAUUUGUUAAAGGAUAACAUUCAAAGUUGUAAUAAUUUACACCUUACUGACUUUUUUUUUGUGAUUGUAUAUUUUAUUUUGAGAAUCGAAUCACACAGCAAAAUACCGAAAUUCAUUUUCUAGUCUCUAGACAUAGUGACUUGGCUGGUGAACUUUUGGGUUGCUAACCAUAUCAAUAACGCAUUAGUUGUCAUUAGUUUGGAUGAUGAGCUUUGAAUAUAGCAACUGAGACCCUUAUAUCUUUAGGGAUCAGUUUUGAAAAGGACACAUUUUCACUUUUGGUGUUCACUUUUGAUGUUGCUGUGGGCCUUACUGCACCUAAUUUCAUGGAAAUGUUGAGAGUUACACUUUGUUGGCAACCUCACUGCAUCCUAGUAAGAAAGGCCUGUGUUGUACUGUUUGGAUGCUUAAAAGAAUUAAAUGAAUCCAAUUAAGUUCAGGCUUCCUUAUCUCUUGGAAAUUGGAAUAUACUUGGCAUACCUAUGCAAUGUUGAAAUGUGGCCUAGAGUUCAAUUUGUUCAAUCAACUCAAUCAAUUGCCAUGUAUUUAUAAUUUGUGGCAAAGAAUGAAGAUUGGAAAUGAAGCUUUAUGUAGAUCUGCUACCUAUUCUGUUAGGGUGUACUGGGAUUCUCAAGCUCAUUUUUUACUUUAACUAUGUGAACCAGUCAACUGGAGAGAAUAUUAUUAAAUAGUAAUAUAAUGCUAGUGUUUUAGAUGGUUCAUUUUAGUUGUGCCAACUUCAAAGCAGAUCUGCAAGACGGCAACCCUUUGUGUAUGAGGGAAGGGGUUUCUUGAGUUAAAAUUUCACUUUGUUAUUGGAACCAGUCAGUAGAAUCACAUAAAAAAAAUACUAGUAUUUAGAAGCGUUUUAUUCUUUUAAUUUUAUGAAGAAUGAAUGGAUUUCGUUAGAUUGGUAAAAUGUGACUUGCGUUAUCGAGACUUAAGAAUUUGAGAUAAUAUAUUUAAUUAUACAAACAAUGCCAUAUUUAGCCCUGGAAAAAAGGGAGCUAUGUAACCUAAAUGUGAAAAUAGCUUGCUGAAAGGUUCAUUAUCAUGAUGAAUAGUGUUGCAAAGUGGUUUCCUGGUGUCUGGAAAGAAUGAUAUAGAGCCAAUAACACAAUGGUUUAGCUACUAGCUUUAUAAUUGGUUUGAAGUCAGCAAGUUUAAACCUUAUGACAUAUGAUGAACAUUACUGUAACUCUAAAAUUCUGGUUUUCUGGUGAAUAAAAUAUAAGUUGUAAUCGAUUCUCAAUACAGCUCGAGGUUGCAAGAUAGGAAAUGUCUGCUCCUUUUGUUUUAGAAUUUUAUUUUAGUUAGUUUGCUUUUAUUUCCUUCCUCAAAAUUAUUGAAGAACUUUCUUCCAAAUGAAUGCUGUAAUAGAAGUCCAUUACGAAAAUCUUUUUUUUAAAACUUGAUACUCAGUUUGAGGAUGUUGGUUCUCAUGGAACAAAAGUAUUCAUAUACAAUUUAUGGAUGAAUGAUGAUGGCCUCCUGGAACUGGACUUUGAUGACGAUGAUGAGGUAAUCAUGAUUUUAUUAGUGAUGCUUCUUGCUUUGCUUGAUGCUCAACCCUUUAUUGAUUUGAUUGUUCAACCUUAGUACUUGUUCGCUAAUAAGAUUUGCCCAUACUAUAUAAAAUGUUUGUCGAAUGAAUCAGAAUAUAAUGAGAAAUUGCUUUACUUAUAUUUGUCAAAAUGACUUUUCACUUUCUCUUACACGCAUCUUGUAUUUAUCAUAAUGAUUGAUCAAUUUUUCUUAUUUGCCACUUGGAUUUAUUAUUUGAAACUUUUAAGUUUGAAAGAUAAGAUUGUCAUUUACCAUACAUCUUAUUUGCACAUAAAACAAGACUUGCAUUAUCUUACUUCUAUAGUAGCUGUCUAGCCGAUGCAUUACUAUAAUGCCAACGAUUUCUCCUUUUUCUGUUACUAAAUUGCAGGAUAUAUUACUCAGAGAUGAAACCGGCACUGGAGGCUUUUCAAGGUUCCACAGAGAAAUUGUGCAACAUCAUAUUUCACACAAACUAAGAUCUUCAUUACGUGUUGGUUUGAUCUCCUUUUUUUUUGUGUUUUUUUAUUAUGUUUCUUAUAUAUUUGAUAUUUCGGCAUUUAAGUUGAUUGAAAUUUUUGCAGGCAUAUGCCUCCAUUCUUUACCUGAGAAAGUUCAAGAAUUUCGAGAUUAUAUUAAGAGGAAAACCUGUUGAGCAAGUACACAUCACUGAGGAGAUGAAAUUUAAAAAAGUUGUGACUUACAAACCUCAAGUUGGGGUUGGCUUGGAAGCUGUAUGUUUCCUUUUGUCCAGUCAUCAUCUGUUUUUUCAAUGUUCUGUUUAUUUGAGUGACUGCUAUCACUUUCAUGAGCACACGUAGAACUAUAGAUCUGAAAUUUUGAUUGUAGUUUGGUCCAUGAAGAUGAGGCCUUUCCAGAAUGCAGGGCUACAUUAUUUUGGUUUGAAUAAUUUUUGAAUAUGCUUCCCAUACUGGGGAUGUCCUGAUGUAAUCCGAUAUCUUGACUAGUUUUCUAGCUUACAUUGCACUUCUCUAUGGCAACCAUAGCAAAAGAUGUGGAUAACAUGAUAACCGACACAUGCUCAGCUGCAUCUUUUUUGGAUACCAAAAUGCUUCCUGAUUACCUUCUAUUUCAUUUAACCUUUGUUAAGAGCUUUCUCAGUGUCUAAUUCUUAACUCUGGCUGAUUAUUGCACCCAUUUAUGCCUUUUGUUUGUUUUAUGCAUGUAACCAUUUCCUAUUGUCAUUUAUGUGUUUAUAUACCUGUUUUAUUUUACUAUUUUUAUUUAUUUAUAUGGUUAAAGUUUUUGAUUGUUAUAGGUCUCAGUUCGUACAACAAUUGGCUUUGCAAAGGAGGCACCAGUUUUGGGCAUCUUUGGCAUUAAUGUUUAUCACAAGAACCGCCUUAUCAUGGUAUUUAUGCAUUUUAAUCUGGCAGCUAGCUUAAAAUUUUAACUUAUUGUUUGUAAGCACCGUUCUUUAUGAGUUAUGUAAUUGCCUAUUCUAGGUUUUCUUUAUGCAUUUUAACUAGUUUAGGAAAACAUAGUUUGUCUUAUCGAACAUGUAACUGUUGGGCAGGUUUGGUACUGCCUACAUUUAAUUUCUCUUUUCAAAACUCAUUGAUUGGAUGCUCUGGCAGACGGAGUUUUCCAUUCUAUGUUUAUUAUUGAAUUUUUGCCUUUGUUCAGAUCAAUGAGCUAGCCAUGCCUGAUUAUAUAGCUGUCAUUUGGUUGCAACUUUGUAAUUUUCUUCUUUUCGAUGAAUAAACACAGCCCUUCUGGAAGGUCCUCCAGGACGGUUCUAGCAGAGGGAGGAGUGUUGUUGGUAUGUUUUUCCUAUCAAUGUGUUGCCUCUCCAAUUACCUCAAGAACAGAGACACAGCCUAUUAUGCACUUUCUGCUUGUUAUCAUUAACAUGCAGGAGUUCUUGAGGCAAACUUUAUUGAGCCUGCUCAUGACAAGCAGGAUUUUGAAAGGACGCCGUUGUUUAUCCGACUAGAAACAAAGCUUAGGCAAAUAAUUAUAGAUUACUGGUGAGUUCCUCUCAGUAAGUGAUUUUGCUCAUUCCAUCUCAUACUCCAUAACAAUUCGAUGUAGACUAGUAAACUUUAAACUUUAUUCAUAAUUCCAUCUGUUUACAACCUCUUUUUAUGCUUGAAAUUUGCUAUUAAAGAGACGCUAAUUCUAGAUUACUUUCAUGUUAAUUGCUAUUCUCCAUUAAAUAUUUACAUGAUGAGGGCUACAUAGUAAAUACCGAUGCUAAUUUCACACCUAUGGGGUAGAUUUUAGUUUCAUCAUAUAAUAUCUUGUUAGUAAUAUGCAGGAACAAUCAUUGUCACUUAAUUGGCUACCAGCCGAUCAAAAGAAAAGCAGACAUGGCUAGUAAGCAGAAGGGCUCUGAUAAAAGUUCAAAUGGACAGGUGCAAAACAUGCAACAGAAAAUGAAUAGGUCACACAAAACAUUACAUGAGGAACCAGUGAUUGAACUUGCAAAUAAGCCACAGAAGAAAUUACAUAAGGAGCCGGUUGUUGGACUUGCAGCUAAUAUUCAGGAUCAGCCAUCUCAGCAUGUUAUUGGACUCGGUACUACUGAUGGUACUCUUGUCAUUUCCUCCCCAUCCUAUGUUAUUGUUGUAACUUUUCUUGCAAAGCAAUGUUGUUGAAAAUGCCAUGGCUGUUCUAGAGAUAGGGGGAAUGUGGUAUCUUUUGAAAAUUUUAAGAAAUGCCAGGGGUAUAAAUGUAUGAAGGGUAUAAAGCCAUUGGUAGAAUUUUGUUAAAUUUUACCAAAAGCUAUCAAUCUUUUCUGUAGAUCUUUUCUCCAGGACAAGGCUUAUAGGAUAGCUCUUGGGUACAAUGCAUAGAUAGUCCUUACGCUUCACAACAUUCUUGGCAUCCAAAAAACCUUAUGUAUGUUAUGCCACGUGCUCUACCCUUGACACUUUUCUUUAAAAUAACCAAAUUUGCCACAGCUUCUACUCUAAGUUUAGUCCUUCUUUGGCCUUGCCUCUUUCUCAUUCAGCUCAUUCUUUGCCGUUAAGUGCUCCAGGAAAUCGGGUUCUCUAUUCAUGUUGUUGUCGAUCAGCUUGUGAGCUCAUCUUAAAAAAAUUAAAAAAUGAAAAUGUGAGACUAGUGCUUAUGACCGUAAUUUAUGUUUCCUGACUUAAAAGUAGUUUUGGAUGUCUAAUGUUUCAUGUGAAGGUUCUGCUGCACUACCUAUAACCCUAUGUGAGGAGGAAGAUUCCCCUAUGGAGCCAUCUGCUUCAGGAGAGGUGCAUGCCUUUUGGUUUCACUUGUUCCCUUAGUCACAGCUCUUUUCUUUGCAUUUGAACAAAUUUGUGAUUUGUUGACUUUAAUUAAUUAAGGAGCAUGCUAGCUUUUAUUUCACUCUAUGCUGAAUCAAAACCUUCCAUUGCACAAAAAAGAAACUUAGUUUAUUUUUAAUUAGAGUACAUUGUCUUUAAUAUGGAUUUUUUUUUUUUUUUUUCGGUAGGGGUAUAUGCCUUCUAUGUGAAAACAACUCGGCUUGAACCUUGACAUUAAAUACAUGACUUCCUUUAUGUGCAAUUUCACCAAAAGCAAGCUGAUUUUCAGUUGUGUGGGAUGAGUUUCUACAGUGAUGAAUAUGUUUUAAUUCGUAGUACUUCACGCUUUUCAGGAAUUAGAAGAAUUUGGAUCCUUUGAUUCAAUGGAUUCCAACUUGAUUGAGAAACUGAGCGAAGAAAACAUUCAACUGUUCACAAGGUAGGCGUUGUUCUUCUGUUAUGCAAAUUUGCUUUUAAGUUUACCUUCCACAAAAUGAGAGCAGAAAAUUACUUUAUAAUUGUAAGGUGUACAUUUGAAUAGGCGAGAAGUCAAUUGUACUUGAUUAUAUUUUUGUUGUCAUACAAUUUCCCAUGCACUCUAAUUUUCAUUUAUAUAUUUACUCUCUCUCUCUCUCUCUCUCUUUGAGUAGGCGUGAAGAACUUCGGCUCAGGGAUGGACAGUUAAGGCAGACGGUAUGUUCACUACGUAUGAGAUCUUUUAUCCGUAAUCACAUAAAUAAAUUACAACUCUUUGAGCAUUGGUUUGAAUAAAGGUCUUCUUACAAAAACUAAUGCUUGUACAAGCAGAUUGAGGAACUGCAGCACGAAUUGGAGGAAAUGAAAGGGAAAUGCGCUCAGGUUGCUUCUCAGCUGGAACUUCGAAAGAAAAAUCAGCGGGUAACUUGAGUAAGGAAGCUCUCCGCCAAUGCAUCGUGUACAUGUGCACCACUUGGAUACUUUCAAACAACAGUAGGAGCAGCUUUAUUUGCUCUUUUUUUGGUGAAUCCCAUUGUUUAUAGAGCUAAUUGUUCUCUUAUUUUGUUUUUAUCUGCUAAUGAUCUCUAGGACUCGUAAAUUAUGCUGCUAAUCUCACUAUUAGUGCCUGAAUUUAGCUGAUCCAGUUAGCAAGCUUAGUAGUGUGGUUAGUGGAUGCCUCUAGGUUUUUGUUUUGUUUUUGUUUCCUUUUCUGAUCUUAAGACCGAGACGUAAGAUUUAAAUUACCACAACAAGCUGGACAUUAAGAUCUAUUAAUCUUAAGCAAAUGUUCGGCAGAUGCAUGCUGCAAAAAUUAACAAAUGUGCAAAAUUUUGCACUUUCACCAGCGUGUUACAGGCGUCCUUCUCUUCAUUACAUUACAAAUGGGAACUGCAAUUUAUUCAUGACGAAAAUAAGCAAAAUGGAGGACUGAUCUUACAAAGGCACAGUUGCUGUCACCGUUCGAUGUCGCGGAUCUGUGAGGAUUGUGUUUACAUUAACAAAACCGGCUUCUCUCAUUGUUUCUUCCAAGUCGAGUAAGUAGUACUCAUCGAGAAACGGUUCAGUGCUCUUAAGCAAAGUGAACAAUACAGGGGACAAUUCCUGGGUAAAUGUUAAAAAAAAAAAUCUUAAGGUUAAUACUAAAAUGAUCUAAAACAAUCGAUUUUAAAACCAUUUUUCUAUCUCUCAACACUGGGCCAAGAAAAGCGUACCUGGAGCACCUUGGAUUUUGGCUGCAUAAAAUACAAAAACAAACAGAAUUGCGAAUAAUUGGUUAGCUUGUGAUGAAUGGAUGUUUAUAAUGCAAAUUUGGAUUUUAGGGAUUACUUACUGAGUUAUCAGUCAAAGCAAUUGUUCCUCCGGGUCGAAGGAGUCGAAAGGCUUCUUCUACUAAUCCGAUAAUUGCCCGCGCAGGACAUUCAUGGCACUGCAGAUUGUUAGAAAACCUAUAAUUCAAUUCCCUAAGCAGCAUUUUGAAAAGAUACUGUAACCUCUGAUGAAAAGUACAGUAUCAGGGGAAUAAAUAGAAUGCAUUUCCUACAACUUUCCAGCUUGUUGAUAGAUUUUAUACUCAAAAAGCAGCACUGCUGUAAAAUUAGCAGAGGGAAGAUCAUACCACAUAAGCAAGAGUGACAAGGUCAAAUGAUUUUGAAGGCAAUCCAGUAGCUUCUCCAUUUGCAUGGACCCAUCUGAUGGGGUUCUUCCUCUUUAUUUUCUUCUCCUUGUACUCUGCUACAGCGACGAAAUAAGGCGACAGAUCUAGUCCCUGUACCGAGGAAUAAUGACUUACAUGUUAGCAUUGAGCACAAACAUAUCUAAAAAGCAAAAUUAACAUGUACGAUAUCUUCAUAUAGAGAGAUUUCCUUUUUCCCUUCAUAAGAACUUGUUCAGCUUCUGUUGCAUCCAUGAGAUGCAAGUAGGGGUGUAAUGUGGGCCGUGCCGGGCCGGCACGGCCCACAUUUCCCGGGCCGAACCGGGCUGGACAGUGGCNAUCCCAGAAAAAGUGUUCGUGCUCUCCAUGUCUAGGGUAUAGUACAAAAUGUCCAACGUCUCAUAACAACCAGCACAGGCCACGUCGACCUAAGUACCUAGAACGGGCGUCUGGACAACCACAAUCCCGUCGACGUCCUGAAGCCGAACAACAGCCAUCACGCCCUUAAGAGGCUACACAAAGGGCGCCUCAAUGGCCCCUAUGGCGGCCUAGCCCUCUAGCUCAAGCAGUAUCUGAACUAAGGGCCAUGGCGUGGCUAGAGCUUCCGAGGCAUGGCUUACCGCGGCCGCCUUGACUUCCUCAACUCUCCAGUCAAUGUUUUAGAGGAACUGUUUGUCAAAUAGACCGGCUCGCAUAGUGGCAGCCCUCGGGGCCACAACAAACAUGCCUUCUUCCUACCUAGCAAAGCUGAGACACACUUGAUGGCACUCAACUUGUCUCAGUGCUAGUUCUUAUUUAUGGGUGAAAGGGCUUAACUGCUGGAUAGGCUGGUCGACGUUCCCAGCACACACAUAAGUUUCUAUCUAAACGUCAGGCCGAUGGUGGUUGACUUCUAGUUCGGCCACCUACAUGUCUUUUAGCGCAAAGCAUGCGUCAUACCCGUGAUACUUAAGUGCCAGUACGGUAAGCCCGAAUGCUUACGGGGCCGCCACAAGUACCUGAACUACUUGGCACAGAAGUCCCUCAUGAACCUGGCAAAACAGCACCAGAAACAUCUGCUGUAUAACCAGAUAAGAGCGUUACUGCUCCUCGUACGGCACGUAAAUUCUUAUCACGAAGUUCAGGAAGCCCUCCUCUUCGAUAUACGAUUCGACUUCUUCACACUGAAGACCGAGGCGCUCCAGCGCAAAGAUCCCGUACACUAAAGGCACCCACCUCAAAGACAUCUGGGCUCUUUUCAACUCCGCUAGUUCCUAACCGGCGCGGGCUGCUUACAGUGCCUCCAAGCUUUGAAGCACCCGAACCGCCCGAUGAUAUCUGCCGAGCACCUCCCGAAAAGCUUCUAUCAUUAAGGCGAAUGGGCAGACUGAGUCUUUCCGUGGUUCAAGCAAACCUCGCUCCUCAUGCUGACCUCAAAGUUUCUCAACUUCCUUUUCGAUUGAAGCUGAGGCCAUGAGCAAAAUGGCCACGUCCCACUUCUGAAACACCAAAUGUCGCUGCGUAGUAUAGACCCUAACCCCACACAGGACUACGUCUCGCCCUUCCAUUAGCAGAUACGCAGGGUAGUCGACUUCUCAAUACUCUUUUUGAUGGGGUAGGUACUAAACCUCGACCGUCGCCACUAGAAGCGAAACUUUGACACCUCCGUGAUAGAUAUACCACGGGUAACGCUCUAGAUGUGGCUGGUGUUCUCAGACUUUAUAGUUAAGUGGGUCUUACUCGAUUUGUACGUUGUUGCCGCCACCAACCUUGAUGAUUUCCUAAUACUACAACUAUAGGAAAUGGUGGGCCCCUUUCGUUUACACCAGUGCCUACGUGAAUCGUCCUUCAGCCGCUUCUUGGAGCGAUAUACCCAAUGUUUAGUUCGCGGGGAUACCGACCUGUACCUCGCUUACUUGGAACUCCACCAACGAGAGCUCUAAAGCCGAGUCAACAAACGCGAACAACAGGUUGGCUGGAACAACCUUUCCUAGUUCUUAAACGUUAGGCGUCUGGGUCUAGAGGUUUUUCACGCUGCGUUGUAGCUCUUCCUAACACCGCCGCUAAAGUGCUAUCUGUGGCCAUCACGUGAAGCUAAGGCUUUAGCUACCACACACGGCUUGGUACUUUUCUAAGCUUCCAAUUAGAACGUUCUCCGUGUAAUCAGCGGAAUAACACUAGUGGGCCCGCCGUGGUUUUACAUAGUUCCUAACUCUUACGUGAUAACCACCGGACUUACUUUUCACUACAACCUGCGAAGCACCGUUUUAUAAAUCAUACGGUUGUUCACUUCCGCCUCACAGCUAAAGAUCGCUUUUUUGACGUCGGAUGGUUAGGGGCAAACCUUUACCCUCCUACACAGUUACCUGAAGCACCAGCCGAACGGAGCAAGUUGCCCGCCGGUGCUACGUUAAACCCACUAACACCUAGCAAACUGCUUCAGCCGAGUGAAAAACGGCUAGGUGUGAUACACCUGUCCACUGUUCAACCGCGUCCAAAUGGAGCUACUCUAUCACUCCAACGUGCCCCACGGUUUCAGUUAGCACAGCCUAGCGCUGGGGGCUAAGUGAAGUGUGAAGACCUUCUCGGACGUCCUUCGGGAACCGUGUGUCGAGUUGAAGUCGUGGCGUAAAGUAGGAGUCUGUCUGCCCGUUUGUCUCUCCUGGUAAGUUUGAGACCUCCUAUACAACGCUCGUAUACAGUAGCUGAUAUUCCCUUCAACCACACUAGUGGAUGGCUACCGGCUCAAGCGGAUGUUGUUAUCAAUAGUACGAUCACACCUCUACCGUGGCAAGCUCCGAGAAAUACCCGCCUUCACAGCUAGAGGAUAUGUGACCUCACUACACCCACUUGCACGGCUCAAACCGGGGCUACCAAACGCUCUUCGCCUCCUCUUCCAAGCGGAACGAGCGUUCUCUAACGAGUGCCGCCUUAGCUCUGUCUUCUCAAUACGUCUAUCCGCGGCAGCUCUGUAUCUCAAGCGCCACCCGCUGGCGCACAAGAAUUUUCAAAGUGGCUACGCGCCACACUUCGCUAAACCUCACGCCCCUUUCGAUUCAGGGGCCAUGUAGCCCGGAAUAUUCUAUAACCUCGCUCGUCCGUGCCACCGGAUAGCCGAACGGGACGGCGACUUCGAGCGGCUACACGUAUUACAUAAGAUGCAGAGGUUACAAGCGUUCAUGUAGGUACUGGGCCUCGUGCGCUACAAUAUACUUGGCGGUCUUGAAGCUCUUCUGAACUCAAUACUUCUCAAAAGCCACUUCUAAUAGCGAGCACUUCACGCUUUUGACGCUUUAGCACUCUAAGGGGUACAUUUCUAAGCCACCUCGUUAGUGCUACUAGCGCUCCGGUGGACCCUUGAGCUCCUAGACUACUCUUUCGUAGUGGGAGUGAACAAACUCCUUAUCUCAUACUCAAAUUCAACUCAACUCUUUAAGCUAAUCAAAGCUCCUGCUUUGAGGAAAAGUCCUCCCGUCCUACAUUUUUUCACUUAAGAACUUUGGGCUCUCAACCUGGAGCAUGUCUUAGCUGAUUAACAGUUCACCCACACGAAGCUUUUUCGGCUUCUUCAGUUUUUGGGUUUCCCACGUAACGUUACCCGGGCAUUCUCGUUUUACACGUUUUUAGACGUGACCUGUCUAAAACGAGAGCUCUUGGCCAGGGACCAUAUUCCCUAGCCAAGGGCAUCCUACCCACGCGCCCCUUUUGGGAGACGCGUGGUAACAACGAGAGCCCCUGACCAGGGACCGCCCUCCCUGGCCAAUGGCAUUCACAGGACGCUCUCGUAACGAGAGCCCCUGGCCAGAGGCCUUCCUCCCUGGCCAGGGGCAUGCGCAUUUUCGACCGUCUCUCGAAAGACGGACGGACCCUACGAGAGUCCCUGGCCAGGAGGGCAUCUCCCUGGUCAGGGGCACGCGCUUCUGACGGGUCCGUCUCGUCCAACUCCCUUCGUUUCAACUCCCAAACCCACGUUAACAAUGUAUUCAACUCCCCAUAUCUCCCCAACUCGGGAGAGAAGAGAGAGUAAGGGGGGGGGUUUGUGUGUAGAGAGAGAGAGAUUCUCGAGAGAGAAGAGAGAACUUCGUUUCUUCUUCCUCUUCUUCCUCUUCUUCUUCCUCUUCUUCCACUUCGUUCGAUCUCUUCCGAAACCAGUAGAGAGAGAAGGAGAGGCGUGGUAACCUCGUUCGAACCCUCCAUUCGAAGAUUGAGGAGAGUACCAUCUUGGGAUCCCAAACCUUAAGAUCGAAACAUUUACCCAGUUUAUCUGGAGAUCGUACGAAUUAUCUACGAAUCCCGAUCUUAGAUCCCAAAAAUAACCCUUAAAACGAUAUCACGUUUGGAUCCCGAGGUUUAACCACCAAAAACUUUUAAAUACUCUAACUAGAGUGAACUCCCGUAGAUUUGGAUUAACGAUCCACAGAUUUGCGCCCUGCUUCAGCCUAAACGCUAAGCAGCUCGGCCACUUUUCAAUAGCCGUUUUGUUCCAGCUGGUUCGAAUCAAAGCUGGAUCCUCCGGCUUUAUAGCAGCAUUGCAAGCAACCCUUCGUAAAGAUCUUGGAGAUGUAGCUGUUUUCCACCCCCCACAGUAGGGCUUCGUUGGCCCAAGGAAAGAUACAGAAUCUUGUAAUACUUUAGAGUAGAGAACGUAUACGUAUCAUCCUAACGUAACAAUAAAAGAAAGGAAUACGAAAGAUUUACUAUUGGAUCACACUCAACUUAUGAACCAUUUAACCUAUCCAUUCCUAACCCAGCCUUGUAACUUAUGAUAUCACGAUUUCCUUUCUCUACUUGAGCCACUACUAACCACUAUAUUACUCACCGUAUAUUAACUAUACACUUGUUUUGCUCACCGUAAAUUACAUCACAUAAACUGUGAUCUCCAAACAUUUGAAUCCCUGUCCACCUAAGGGAUCAUUUGCUGAGCACUUGUUUCUUGAAUCAUAUCGAUUCGUGUAUACGUACUAACAGCCUUAUCCACUCAAGGCUCUCUCAACAACCGGGAUCAAGUAUCCCACAGGAGUGCAUCUCUCCUAUCUAGUUCGAGUGCCAGACAAUAACCCCACCAUAUCGGUAGGCCCCACCAUAUCGGUAGGUACAGCAGCUCAUGAGGCCUCACAGCCCGCUGCCCCUGCUCAACUACAGGCAUCUGUCAGGGUCCAAGCUCUCGUUCAACUCAGAGGCAUGGGAUGCCCUACCUAUACACUCCGCUCCCGCUUGGGUUCCCUAAGCGGUUUCUAACCCAUUUACUUUCUUAUCGUAACAGUAAUUUGUAGCGAAUAACCUGUACUAAACAAUUCCUAAAAUAUCCAACCGCUUAAAGCAUUUCAACAAACCUCAGAACUUCUUUACUAGCCUCUUCAAAAACUCUUUUCAAAGUUUAACCUCCUGUUUCUGAGCAAGCCUUUCUAGCUGUGGAUUCCAUACUUCUUUUCUAAUAAACACCACUUCUAUGUGUUAAACUUAUUCAAGUCUUCCGAAUCUGACGAAAUUUUUAUUAAAAGACUUGUAAGUACACAAGACCCUGGCCAGAGACUCUACCUCGCUGGCCAAGGGGGUUCCAGGAGUGACGCAUUUGGAACUCCGUUGGCCAGAGGACACUACUCUCUGGCCAAGGGCUUGGAACCACCAAGACAGUGCGUCGCUCCCUGGCCAGAGUUCAAACUCUCUGGCCAAGGGCUUGCACCCCAAAAACCAAUGCGUCCCUCCCUGGCCAAAGAGUGAACUCUCUGGCCAGAGAGUGUCUGGCCAGAGGAGCUGUCCUGGCCAGAGGCUCCUGCUGUGUCCAAAAAUUUUGACCGAAAAACGUUAGGAUCAGAUGAAGAUUCAGAAGAUUUGUAUAUUUAUUCGAUACACCCAGCAGAUUUUAAUUACGAAACUUAAAAACUAGUUAAGGUUUGGGAUCUUUGAGCAAAGUUACGAAGCUAAAUGUGUUACUCAAAGAUCGUUAGUUGUAGCCAAACUAAGAAGUAAAAAAUGAGUUAUGAAGAAUGCUCUUAGUUCAUCUACUAACUAAUUUCCGCUUGGGUGUAUCGAAUACCAAAAGUUUUCUAUUUAGUGGUGUUUAGAAGUUAAGAUGUUCGAGGCCUUCCUCCAAGCCGCGCACCUAGAGCGCACUUCGGCUCCUCAGCCACCUGCGAAGUUCCUCAACUCCGCAACUACGACGCUCCUCAACGUCGUUCCAGCUAACCACCUAAGGAUAGCUAGCUCCUGGCCGUUUCUAGUGGUAGUUGCUCUUUAGCCAUUUAACUCAGCACACAAAAACAGUUUUAGUGAACAUGAGUUCAAAAGAAUCACCUAAAAGAAACGCACUAGCCAGGGCACCCAAAAAGUGAGGCUUAACCUCAAAAGGGUGCAAUUUAAACUCUAGACCAUGUAAUGAUAUAAAUGCUUCACUAAUGAAAGAAUGUGAUGCACAGGUUUCAACUAAUGCACAACUUAAAUACCAAAAUCAAAAUAAUACCUGCCACCACUCGAUCUGCGGCCGCGGAAUCUUUAGUCUGCACUUCGUACAUGCUACCACUUGAUGCCAGCCCUCGCUGCUCACUCAGCUGUAGCACUGCAACUUCAUCCGCCUGUCUGUAGCUGAGCGAUGCCUCAACAGCCUCCUGAAGUGCUGGCGGUACUGACGUCGUGGAUGGUGCUGGAGAUGCUGCUCGGGGACAGGCUGUCCUCAUGUGUCCAGACUGACCACAAGUAAAAUAGCGGCCUUCUCUCUGCUCACACUGUCGGGGCCAGUGUGGUCCCCCGCAAAUCACACACUGCGGCAUCCUCGGUGUCUGUCCCUACUGAUGGGAUCCCUUGGAACUCUUACACCCUAAAGACCCACGACCCUGAGAGUGUGAUCGUGGAGGUUUCGGCAGACGCCUGCUGCUCGACUGUCCUCCGUCGUCUAAAGCUGGGUGCUUCCUGUCCUGACUCUGUCCCGCUGUCUGUGUCCGCUCACGGAUCGAUGUAUCACCUCUCUCAACCCAAAGUGUCUGCUGCACAGAUGCUCUUGGAUCAACACCCGAUCACUGAGUAACAAUCUCGCACAUCCUCUGCAAAAGUACACCCUGCUGUCUGAUCACCUCAGUCAAGGCAGCCAACUGCGCACUCACGUCAGGGGGUGCACUCGCCUCCGGUCGGGUACUCUGCUCCAUAAUAGGGGGUGCACUCGCCACCGGCACUCUGAAGGUACGGUACGGUCCUGCGUCAACUGCGCACGCUCCUGUGUCGACGGUCGGCCUCUGCGAAGAUACAUAGCUACAAGAAACAGAAUGGGUCUGUAACGCACUAGACCUUUGCAAAUUAUGAGGUUCGAGUGUUUGAUCAGUGUUCUGAGUUUUUUCAAAUAUUCUGGAUGAUCGUUGACAGGGUUUCGACUCGUAUCCCGAGAAUUGUAGUUUUCAAGUAGCACUAAGGUCGCCAAAAUGAUAGACUUAGGCUGCUCUCGGGUUACAUUUUGCGAGGCUGUGCACUGGUACACCUAGGGGUGUAAUGUGGGCCGUGCCGGGCCGGCACGGCCCACAUUUCCCGGGCCGAACCGGGCUGGACAGUGGCCCGGCCCGGCCCGUGGCUAAAUCCGGGCCGGGCCGUGCCGGGCCCGAACUCCCUACCAUCCGGCCCAGCACGGCCCCUAGGCCCGGAAGGCACGGGCCGUGCCGGGCCGGGCCGUGCUCCGGGCCGGCCCUUUUUUUUAUUUUUUAAAAAAUGUACAUAUAAUUUAAAAAAAUAUAAACAAUAAAUUAUAUUUAUAUAAACUGAUAUUUUGAUUAAAAAAUUUAAAAUUUAUAAAAAUAAUUACAAAAAAUAAAUAUUUAAAUUUAUUUAAUAUAUUUUUGUAUUCUUUUUUUGAAAAAAAAAAAAGUUGAGAAGGGUUUUUGGUCCAAUGGACCAAAAUUGCUUUGGUCCAUUGGACCAAAAUCACUCCUCCCAAGGUCUGCAGGCAGACCUUGGGAGGAGCUCUCCUUGGGAGGAGGGCCAAGCCCUCCACCCGAGGAGAGCAAACCCCAGGCCCAAGGCAACUUUGCCUUGGGCCUAGGUUCCGGGCCGUGCUGGCCCGGCUGGCACGGCCCAAGCGGGCCGUGCCGUGCCGGGCCACGGGCCUCUCCUCGGCCCGGCACGGCCCAGGCCCGUUUCGGGCCGUGCCGUGCCGGGCCGUCGGGCUCCAAAUGUGAGGCCCAGCACGGCCCGAAGUGCCUGCCGGGCCCGGUCCGGCCCGGGUGCUACAGUGGUCGUGCCGGGCCACGGCCCGGCCCGUAGCCGUGCCGGGCCGGGCGGCCCACGUGCCGCCCGGCCCGUUUUACACCCCUAGGUACACCUUGAUGGUUGUACCGGUACAGAACGUGUACCGGUGACAACUCGAUGGUUGUAUUGGUACAAUGUACAUUCAAAGUCAUAUACCAAAGUCUGUUCAGGUGAUGUUAGUGUAUCUUAAAACCAAAUAUUUUUGCUCUUUUCCCGUUGUUACGUCCUGUUCUGUUCGGGUACAGAAAGUCAAACCUGAAACCUGAUCAAAGCCAGGAUAAAUACUAGCCAUGGUGGUUUUGGUUUUCAAGCCGGACCAAACCAUGACAACGGAAAAUCUUUGUCAAUUUUCAAGGCACACUAACCGUUUUUUGUUAUGUUUCUGUAUCAUCAUUGUAAAAACGAACGUUGAAAGAUAAUUAAACGUUCCCGGUAAUGUUCAAUUGGUUGUUAUUGCUUUUAUCUUGUUAGGUAUACGUUUGUGUAACUUAGUGUAUUUUAAACACAAAUUUCUUUGUUUCCUUUGUUAUCACUAUGGUUUACUCCGGAAGCCAAAGCCAAGCCUGGUACGAACGCUGGUUUAGAUCAGGUAGCGAUGAAUCAAAGACCAGAAGAGAAAGGUAUUAUACUAAAUGUAAAGUAGUCGUACGACUGAGACACGUUUAUCGUAUGAGCGACUGGAGGGGCGUGUCGAAACAACCUAUCGUAACUCCUACAACGCUCAUAAAACCACGAAUAGUCCAGUAGCUUAGGCUUAUUAAUCAAACACACGGUAGUAAAAUACUAAAGGAAUUUAUACAAUACGAUGAGCAAAUAGGAAUAAAUAAAAGAGUAAAAAGAAUAUUACGGCCGAGAACUUAACACACUAACCUAAACAAUUCAUACGGAUGUACUAGAGAUCAUUGAAGAUUUACUAGAUCAAUUGUAGUGCCUAACCUCCACUCGUAAACUCUGGUAAAUGUCGAGUGCUGGACUUACUUAAGACUUUCCCAAGGUUCUAAGCUGACAAGCUCUUACUGAAGAGAGAGACCUUUCGAUCAAGAAGCGCUUCAGAGGAAGACAGUUAAACCACCGAACUUUCGUCGUCGCCUACUUUCCCUACAAUUACAAUAUCAACCAGGGACAAAAUAGAAAGAAAAAAAUGGGGGAACUAAGGUUCAAGGACAUUGUAAAAAAAUUACAAUAGGCAAAACAAUCAGAAAACCGGAUAAUGAAACAACAACAACAAAAAAAGUGUAAAUUUCUGUUGUAGAAACACAGAGUCUAGGAGACUUUGACUGUUUAACAUAAAUUGGAAACAUUAAACUUAAAAUACGACAACUCAUUGACGUUUCGACCAAAGAAGAGGAAACACAUGUAAGAAUGAUUGGACGAGACUCUACGGGUAAUAAUAAUAAUAAUGAUCAUAUUUUGGGCACAAAGCAACGCUUAUUUAUUUUAAAAUUAAUUAAUUAUAUAUUAAUAAAUUUUAAAUUUUAAAUUUUACAUUUUACAUAAAAUUUUUUAAUUUUUAUAUUAUGUAAACUUUUUUAAGAAUCGAAGAGUUAUAGUUUUUUCAACACUUAAGUUUUGGAUUUUGGGUUUUGUAAUGAGAAAACAAGUACUUUUAGUUGAAGUUUUAAUAUACUCUAGUUUUGAUUCCUUACCUCUAUCUUCGUCACGAAAACUUCGAAACUAACAGAGAACUUUUCCAUUUUUUUUAUAAAAAAAUUAUAUAAUAAAAAACCCUUCCACUUUUUAGUUUCUCUAAAAAACUACCCUCUCUCCUUUUCCACGUUUCUCUGUUUAAAAGAGAACUUUCCCACUUUUUUAAAUAAAAAAAUUAUUUAAUAAAAAACUAUUCCACUUUUCCAUUUAGUUCAAGACCAAAGGAGAGAGAAUUAGGGUUUCGUUGGUGCAUUAACACCCAACGCUGGAGUUCGACUCACCGUUGCAGCCGCCCAUGCCAUCGCCGUUGCGGCUGCACCAGCUGUGCCGCCGUCGCCGCAGCCGUUCCUUGUUUCAUCGCCGUCAAUACCCACCGCCGCUGAAGCCUGCCGCAAACCUGUCGUAGCCACUCAUGCCGCCGCCGUGGAACUCAACUAGCUGCUGCAGCUAUCACCUACGCCUCCGUUGCUGCCGUUGCCGAAACCCGCCGCAGUGACAAUUUUUUAACGCAUGCCAUUUUUGCGUCGCCUUUUUCUUAGUUUAUUUAAACUAAAAACUUUUGAGAACUCUAGGUUAGAGUUUUUGGUGCGUUAAUCCUAGGGAGUACAAGAAAUUCUAAUUUCCUCUUUUCUUUCUAGCUUAGAAAUGGAAAAAGGGCUUAUUUAGAAGUGGAGUUAAACUACUAGCACCUUAACCUAAGAAACUUCGGCGUGUACGCAGGCCGGAGAUAUCCAUAGGUGUGCUCCAAGAACUAAACUAGCUAAAGGAGUGGCCUCACGAUCGAGGGAACGUUUCCUAUAGAAAACGAUCUUCUACCUUAUCUCUCCUCUCCUUUCUACUGCCGAUCCCAAAAGAUUUUUGAGGGCAUAUAAUAUAUCUCCUUAUAUUAGGAAAAAGAUUAUUAUAUUACUGUUAAUUCCUAUUCAUGUUUAGAUCUAAAUUAAAAUAGGAAAGGAAUUAAUCAAUCUAGCUAGUUUAGGAUUAAACUAAGCUGAACUUAAAAUAUAAUUAAACUAGAAUAGUUUAAUUAUUACGUUAUAAAUGUGUAUUCAGGAGAAUAUUAAAUGAUUGAUAAUCAAGGAGAGAACAUUAUAAAUGUGAAAUUAUGGUGAUUAAACAUUGUUAAUGUUUAACCAGGUUAAUAGUUAUAUAACUGUUAAUCCAGGAGGCCGCUAAGUUAUUAGCGCUAGAUCGAUAAGCUAUUUAGUGUUGGAGAAUACACACACUGGGGUAUCCAAGAUAAGAUAGACCAUCACUCUAUAUAAAACUAGUGAUAGUUGUUAUAGUGACUUUGAGGAAAGUCAGCUAGCUUUGUUAAGGUUGAGUCGGGUUAUUCUUAAUAGCUAGUAGAUUUAUUAAGAGUACUCAGAGUGUUAGGUGGUCACUGCGGAUUGUCGUACAUCACUGUAAAGUCAUUUUAUCUUAUGACUUGGAGAACCACAUCAAUGACACACUAUGUUAGGAAGAUAGUACUCAGGGCUGAUCUGCCUCCAAUACCUUAUUGAAUAGUUUGGGGUAGCAGACAGUAUACAAUUUAAAUAAGCUGAGCUCAAAGAUUAUAGCCUUUAGGAAAAGGCGAUAAUUGAGAUGGGACCGGUUCCAGAAGAUUUGAGCCAGAGUAUUUAGUGUAUCCUGAUUGUGGGGAUAGAUGGUUUCCUCCAUCUAAGGUAGAUUCACACGUGGGAUAAGCAUGUUACUUGGAUGACGUCGGUUGUACGUGGCAUUCCUGGGCUUACCGAUCCCUGGUUCACAUACAUGUCAGUUUGAUGUCAUUGGAGUAACACUUAUCGGCUCCGUGGCGUCCAGUUUCCUGGUCAAUGUGAUGACGUUGUAACUGAUUCAGUGACUGCUUACUCAUCUGUAGGUUCACUGAAGAGCGCAACCAGUGCGAGCCAUGGGAAUACAUUCCUUCACUUAAGAGCUUUAGGCUCUCAACCUGAAGCGAAUCUUAACUGAUUAACAGCUCACCCAUACGAAGCUUUUUCGGCUUCUUCAGGCUUUUUGCUUUUCACGUAACGUUGCCUGGGCGCUCUCGUUUGUCACGUUUUUAGACGUGAACCGUCUUAAACGAGAGCCCUUGGCCAGGGACCGUCUUCCCUGGCCAAGGGCAUUCGUAACACACGCCGUCUUUUAGAGACGCGUGUUCAUAACGAGAGCCCCUGGCCAGGGAACGCCCUCACUGGCCAGGGGCAUACGCAUCCUUUUUCCGUCCCGGGGGACGGGUGUUUCUGACGAGAGCCCCUGUCCAGGGAGAUCCCUGUCUGUCCAGGGGCUCGUGCUUUUGACGGGUCAGACUCGUCACACUCUCUUCGUUUCAACUCCCUGAACCCACGUUAACAACGUAAUCACUUCCCAUAUCUCCCCUCUAGUGAGAGGAGGAGAGUAAGAAUGUGAGUUGGUUUGUGGAGAGAGAGAGAGAGAUUCGAGAGAGAGGGAUAGAACUUCACUUCUUCCUCCUCUUCCUUUCCUUCCUCUUUUUCCACCUCUUCUUCCUCUUCGUUCGAACCUCCUUCUUGUAGAGGGAGAAGAAGUAGGAGUGGAACCAACCUCGAUCGAAUUCUCCAUUUGAAGAUUUGGGAUGUUACCAUCUUUCGAUCCCAACCCUAAAUAUCGAGAUCUUUACCAAACUAAUCUUGGGAUCGUACGAAUUAUCUACGAAUUACGAUCUUAAAUCCCUAAACAACUUCAUCUAAACGUUAUCAUGUUUAGAUCUCGAGGUUAAACCCUAAAACAACUUAUCACUCCAAACUAAAGUUAACUACCAGAGAAUUGGAUUAACGAUCCACAGAUUUGCGCAACUGCUUCUGCCUUAAAGCUAAGCAGCUCGGCCACUUUUCAAUAGACGUUUUGUUCUGGCUAACUCGAAGCAAAGGUGCAUCCUCCAGCUUCGUUGCAACUUCGUUCACGGUUCAUCGCAAGAAUCUUGGGGUUGUAUCAGCUUUCCACCCACCACAGUAGGGCUUCGUUGGCCCAAGGAGAGAUACAGAAACACGAGGUACUAAAGCGUAGAGAACGUACAUACGUAAUAUCCUAACGUAACAAUAAGGUAAAGGAAUACGAACGAUCAACUAUAGUUACAUACUCAACUUACGAACUAUAUCACCAAUCUAUUCCUAACCCAGAACUGUAACUUAGGAUAUCACGGCUCCUUUUCUCUACCUGAGCUACCAAUGGAUCACUGUAUUACUCACCGUAUACUAACAAUUUAUUUGUCUUGCUCACCGUAUAUUGAAUCACAUUUCACCGUGAUCACAAACACUUGAAUCCCUAUCCACCUGAGGGAUCGCUACUGAGCAACUUGUUCUUGUAUCACAUCAUUUAUGAAUGUGUACCUGUAACCCUAUCCAUCUAAGGGCUCACUGUCAAUCGGGAUCAACUAUCCCAUAGGAGCUCAAUUCUCCUAACCUAGUAUGAGUGUCAGACAAAUAUAAACACCACCAGCGCGGUGUGUUCAGCAGCACGUGAGGCCUCAAACCACGCUCUCCCCGUCUCAACUACAGGGUGUCUGCUAAAGCCCAAACUCUCGCUCCACUCAGAGGAAUGGUAUGUUCUACGCUCCACUCAACACUCGCUGGGUUCCCUAGCGGUUCCUAACCAACUUCUCUCUUAUCGUGACAAUAACUUGUAAACGAGUAACCUAUACCAAUCACCUGUAUUACCGUACAACCAUUUGAUGAAUGAUAUCCUACAUACGUAUGUAAUGUGUACUAAACCCGUAUCAUCGUAUCAAAAGAAUGAUACAGUAAAUGUCAAAAGUAUAGAUAGAUAGAUAGACGAAAACGGGUGAGCCUGGAUCACCCCUCUAGCCGCCUCAGUCGCCGGCUUGGGUGACCCUUGAUACCUGUUAUCAAGAGUGGGAUGAAACAACGUUCCGGAUCAAGCUCGCGCGGCACGCUCCUAGCGCCGUUUCCAUAUCAUGGACUCGUCAUCGUAUCAUCGAAAGGAUAAAACGUAAUCGUGGUGGAAACAUAUACUCACUGAAUACAGUCACUCCUAACCUCCCGAUACAUACAUAAAACCACUACUGGAUCACCUGAACAUAAGUAAAAACCAUUUCUACAUUUACAUCAGUUUACAUUUACUUACGUUACACUACAUUAUCGAUCAUUAGAUAAAAAUAAAAGGAACAUAUACGAACAUCUAUGAACGAGAAAGAACAACCGUGAACACCAUGAGGAGCAACUAGCACAUACGUACUUAAAUUAAAAGGACCCGUUUAAGAACAUGUACUAGUCCAACAAUCGGAACCCGCCUGUCCUCUUCACGACAGGCAAGCCGCAGACAAGCUGCGCGGGCUUGGCCUGAUUUAACCAUCGCCAGAGCCCCGCACUGUGGAACAAGAGAUUGUUUGGUGGUCGUAUAAACGAAGUCACAGGGGUGUGACAGCUGAGCUCUGGGCAGAUAGGUUUUUCCCUUCGCUGGAUACGUGGUUAGAGUAGCCUAGUUAGUGGUAGAGGCACUAGUAGGUAACUAGCCAUCGUAAAUCCUUAAUUAGUGGUUACUGCGUACAGAGUUUAAGAGUUGAGAGCUCUUAUAUACAGUAGUAGAAUAAUUAAGGAACCUGCUAAGUACCUGUGUAUGUGUUGUACUUACCUUUAUUUUUAGGUUUAAACAAGUAUUAUAAAAUUUCAAUUUAUGUUUUAAUACAGGAUCUUUCUUAUGUACACAGCCGGACCAACCGAAGAUCCCGUAUGUAGAUUGUCAGUCGCUCAAGCCGCCGCCACCUGUCUUUUCUUCUCAAAUAAAGAUAUAUAUAUAUAUGUGAUAAAUAAAUAAAUAAAUAAAAAUUGAGAGAAAGAUGACGGAAGAGAACGAGAAAAAGGAGAGAAAAAAAAUAAAAACAAAACAAAACGUUGUCUUCUACACCUACUGGGGAGAGCGCGUCGGCGAAAGCGGCUAAGAGGUACACUAGGAGACACGCUACGGGUAUAGGGGGAGGGGCGGAGCUCGAAAAAAGAGCUCGAUAAAUAUUUCGAUUUCGGAAUCUUUAGUUCUAAAAAAGUCUAGAAUUUUCUCUAGAACCUUUUAUACAAAAUAAAGAUAAAUGAUAAACCUUUCUCUUUCUUUCCCUUGUCCUCUUCUCUCUCUAUCUCUCUUCGCCUUCUAAAAUUAUAAUAAAUUAGUAUAUUUAUUGGAUACUACUGGAACCAGCUUGGAACUCUUAUAGAACCAGGUUGGAACCCCUCCUCGAUAUAGAACUGGUUCUAGGAGGUUGACCUUGGAAGGGCAACCUAAUAAGUAUUAGAGAAGAUAUAUACUUUCACGUGAACACGAACUAUCCCAUCUCACAGUUUAAGAUAAACACCUGCGUCCUUUACAAUGGUGCAUAUGGAAUGUUUGACAGUUAAUUAGAUAAACAUACCUAAAGAUAAAAUGACAAACCUUGCUCUCUCUUCCCCUUCUCCUCUUUCCUCUCUAUCUCUCUUCGCCUUCUAAAAAUAUAAUAAAUUAGUAUAUUUAUUAGGAUACUACUGGAACCAGGUUGGAGCCUUUAUAGAACUAGGUUGGAACCCUUCCUAAAUAUAGAACUAGUUCUAGGAGGUAAACUGGGAAGAGCAACCUGAUAAGUGUUGGAGAGGAUAUACACUUUCACGUGAAUACGAACUGUUCCAUCUCACAGUUAAAGAUAAACACCUUCGUCCUUUACGACGGUGCAUAUAGGAUGUUUGACAGUUAAUUAGAUAACCCAAUAAACGUAUGUGCAGGGACGUUUGUAUCACUUAACGUCUUUAUAGGAACGUUUUGCUUUUAAGGUAUUCAACAGUGAUGUUUUCAGAAUUCAAUACGUCUAUACAGAGAUGGCAAUUCCAGACAAUUUUUUUUAAGCAAUUGGUGUCAAUUUUUAAUUGGUAUCAAUUAAUUAUUGCAUUUAACUGCCAAAAUGUGAAGAAGGAGAAAGAGGAGAAGGAGAAGGUAGAAGAAGGAGCGGCCGCCACCGCCGUAGCCGCCGCUGCCGCUGCCGCCGUAGCCGCCGCUUGGAAGAGGGAGAAGGAGAAGGAGAAGAGAGAAGGAGAGGGAGAAGGAGAAGGGGGAAGAAGAAGGAGAGAAAGAAGUAGAAGGGAAAAGAAGCAGCGGCUGCUCCCUCUUCUACGCCGCCGCUGCUUGGGAGAGGGAGAAAGGAGAAGGGAGAAGAAGAAGCGGAAAGAAGAAGGAGAGGGAGAAGGAAAAGGAGAAGAAGCAGCGGCCGCUCCCUCCUCUACGCCGCCGCCGCCACUUUCGUUUGGGAGAGGAAGAAGGAGAAGGAGAAGGGAGAAGAAGAGGGAGAAGGAGAGGAAGAAGGAGAGGAAGAAAGAGAAGGGAGAAGAAGCAGCGGCCGCUUGGGUUGGGGCGCUGCGGCGGCGGCGGCAGGUGAGGCCACCGGGUUUUUCCCUCUCUUUCCCUUUCUCUUUAUAAAACCUCCGUAUACAAACACUCCCAUUUUUUCAGUAAAGUGUUCUUUUGACAAUUUUUUAAUUGUCAAAGGAUUGUCUAAAGUUGGUCUUCCUGUAUAGACGUAUUGAAUCCUGAAAACGUCCCUGUUGAAUACCUUAAAAGUAAAACGUCCCUAUAAAGACGUUAAGUGAUAUAAACAUUCCUGCACAUACGUUUAUUGGUAUUAGAUAAACAUACCUAAUAACCCCAAAUCCGAAUCUAAAAUCCGGGUCUUCUUAACAAUAAUAUUGAUAUUUAAACUUUCACCUUCGGAAGUUUACGAUAACUCAACACUUAUGCGAGGACUCGAAAAAAAAUAUCUCUUUUGAAGUUUAUGGUAGGGACCCCAAAGUGUGAAAGAGUGAAAUUAUGGGACACUAAAUUUCACAUAAUUAAAUCACGAGACAAUAAAAUAAAAUUAAAAAAAUAAUAGCUAAGAUGAUUAAAAAAAGUAAUUUAGUCACUGUUUCAAUUUUGAUUUAUCAUGAUUUCCCUUAUAAACUAUUUGGAUCCACGGCAUAGACUUAAAAAAACAUAUAUUAAAUUGCUUUAUAAUUGCCUUUUCGACUGCUUUUCUAUUUUAUUUUAGUAUCCUGUGAUUGAACUAUGUGAAAUUUGGUGUUCUAUGAUUUCACUCUUUCACGCUUUGGUAUCCCCACCAUAAACUUCAAAUGAGAAAAAAUAUUCGUCACACUUACACUAAUUACUGUUUUCUCCUUUUUAUUUACCUCCAUAGGGUAAGUUAGGAAAGUAAGGUUUGUUUUUUAAAGUCCAAGUCUUAAUUAAGUCUACUUAAAUACUUUAAUAUUUAAUUAAGUUUAGAUAAUACUAAACUACAAAACCAAAAUUUGUUCUAUGAUUUACAUAGAUGAAUUAUUUAAGUUUCUCGUUUACCACCUCUUUUCGUAGUUGUUAGUGUGUCCUGUAUUCCAAAAAUCAGGAUAAGAGAAUCUAUCUAUCAGUACUUUAACGCCACCUUACACGGUAGGAGUUAUUAAACAUCAUAUUGGAACGUCGCCUGAGUUUAUUUUAUGGAUAAAACGUUGGUUCUUUUUAAGUUUCUUUGUGAUUUACAUUUUUAUUAAUUUACUCUUUUUCACGGUCUUCCUUUUUUUGUGAUGUUCUGGUUUCUAAAUUCACAGUACUAUACUUUAGUACGGUUUGUGAACGACUGUACCGUGCUGUGUCACGCACGGCGCGGUGUGAUACGGUUACAUACAGCGCGGUAUGACUACGUAGUACCGUGCCGUGUCACGCAUGGCGCGGUGUGACACGGUUACAUACAGCGCGGUAUGACUAUGUAAGGCCAGUGUUUUUUAUGUACACAUGGUUGUGUAUUACUGUACUUUAUAAAUACGAAAAUCAUUAUUUUAUAAAAUUAACGAAUCAUAUAUAAAAAUAGUUUAGCAAAUUUAAAAUAACUCUUCUAAUAAAUGAUUAAAUUUCUUAUCUUUUAAAAUUUGAUACAGUAGCUGUGCUCUUGACAUAGCCACGACUAUAAAACAACCGUGCUAUGGCCUACCACCUAUACUGGGUACAGAUACCCAUAAAUUUAGGGACAUGUCCUGAAUAUACUCCGUAGUAGUGUUAGUGUUCCGUUUUAGUUUGACCUGUUCGUCUUAUAGUACCUCUUUCUACAAACGAGGUACAGAAAAAUUGUUACAGACUUUCACUUAGGGGAUGUCUAGUUCUUUUUGUGUUGACUCGAUUUAUAAUACGGCUUUAAAGUUAGGUCCUUUUGUUUUAAUAAGAGAGUCUUCGGCUUACUUGAAAACAGAAUUGACUCGUUUUCAACAUGUGUACCAGGUAAAGUGACUUCCGAGAGUUAUUACGCUCAUGUUCGAGAGUCAAAAUCUACAGUUCUUGUUUAUAUGCUUUAAUCGAUUACAAGGUAAGGAUAAAUACGAUUUUCUAAAGUUAAAUGGUUCCAAUGUAUGGAUUAUGGGGAGUUUUAAGUAAAGACAAUAAUGAAAAGUCUGAUAUUAUAUAUAUUAUUAUCUGUACUAUAGUUCCAAUUCUUAGUAGUUACUUAGUUCCUCGAUAAAAGAAGAAGAGUCAACUUCCCAAUAUAACUAACAACUAAAACUACAAACUGAGAAGUAUUCCUAGAGAAAGUAGAAGGAACGGUUUGGGUUCGAGGCUGUACAGAACAAAGCGGUAGUUCAAAGACUUCUCUCUCUCUCUCUCUCUCUCUCUCUCUCUCUCUCUUCCCAAAUCUUGAUCAUAAGUUUAUAAAUCCCGAACAAACCAAGUGGAUAAAAUCUGAUACCUUAGCUUUACUCUAAGUAGCUAAAGUUUAUAAUAACAAACAAGAUGUCCUUAACCUAGGAUUAAGGGUAAGGUGAGAUUUUACCCUUACCAAGUUAAGUACAUACCGGGUUAGCCCGAAACUUAGGGCCUAACCGGAUCAGCAUUCAUUUACUGAGUUUUUGAAAAGAACGUUUGUGUAGGGGGAGAAGAGGGAAAGUAGUCAGAGGAGAGAGAAUUGGCUUUGUGAGUUUUAAGAUCUACAAAUAAAGUUAAAGAGAGAGAAUUGGCUUUGUGUGAGUUUUAAGAUCUACAAGGUAAGGUUUUAAGAUCUACAAAUAAAGGUAAGGUUAUACUUGGUUUGUAAAAAGGUACUAAGAGGUAAGGUAAAAGAUAAGGGUAAAAGAUAAGGUUAUGUUAGGUUAAGGUAAAAAGUAAGGGUAAAAUUAGUACUUGGUUUGUACGCACAUUCUCUAACAGCUGUCCUUUAAAUUAUUUGAUAAUUGUUUAUAAACAAUAGCAUCUUCUUUUUAGAAACGACACAAUAUGGAAUCCUAAACACCGUGGUGAUAAAACGAGUUCAACAAAAAAAAAAAACUGAGGAGCUACUAAACAUUGAGGUUUCUUGAGAUAUUAUCUUUACAUUAAAAAGGUUGUCGUUUUUAGUCCCUCCUUCUUAAUGUUUGGAGAGGUAGUACGCUGUAAGGUUCAUGAAGAAGCUCUUCACGGAUGUAAAAAGGCUGACUUUCGGACUACUAAAGUUCGUCCGAUGCAUGAGAAAGAAAAGGACGCAAUUCUGUAUUUAGAGUGUAUAAGAUAGGGAAAAUGACACUUAAUACUUAUUAUUUAUUAUGUAAGAUCUUAUCUUCCUAGAGUAGUAGUUUCUGUCAAAGGGAGUUUACUUUUUUUUAAUGUUCUUUGUUUUUUCUAUCACGUGAAGAGGAUGGUUCAGUGUGAGUACGUUUACUAGGUUUCCUUUAUGUGGAAAAAGACCUCCAUAUCCAGAGCGAGGGGAUAAAGGUGGUUUACGUGGCGGAUGGCUUUUGUUAUUUUGUACGACUUUUAAACAUAGUCAAAUUUAUCAGGUUUAAACUUUAAUUAUUUUUGAGAUAAACAUUUUUAUAUCGAAAUUCUGAUGUUCCUUUUCAUCUUUCAACUCUAGAGACUACGUCAGGUUGAUUGUAGUUCUGAUUUUGAUUCGUUUUAUCUCGUUUUUAGUUUCUUCUUUCGGAGUGGACCAAAGAGGUGCUUUAUCCCGAGUUUUCCCGAGACAUUCUCCCAACCCCAUCCAAUAUAUCUCAACGUUGUUAACGUUUAUGUUGGGGGUUGUUUUAGUCGGAAAAGUUGUUUCACAUGAUCAUGUGCUCUUUCACAUGGCCAUGUUUGGGUCGCAUACGGGCUUGGGCUCCGAACCCAACCGUCUUUUUGGAUAGNCCGUGCCGUGCCGGGCCGUCGGGCUCCAAAUGUGAGGCCCAGCACGGCCCGAAGUGCCUGCCGGGCCCGGCCCGGCCCGUAGCCGUGCCGGGCCGGGCGGCCCACGUGCCGCCCGGCCCGUUUUACACCCCUAGAUGCAAGAAUUGUGUACAAUGAUUUGGUGCAAAGGCCUCCCUAAUAAUCUAAAGGUCAGUAUGUUUGAUUUGAUGCAAAACAACUACAAUGUGCUCGAAAAGUUAACGUAAUUUAUACAGCCUCACAAUCACAAACAGAAUAAAGGAUUUAGUAACAUUCGAUAAUUAAUGAGUAAUAUUUUACCAAGUCCAGUUUUGUAAAUCAGAUUGAAAUUAGUUAGCAGUGUUUCUUUUGGCAUCGAACUGCAGUUAACCGGUCACACUGCUAUUAAGGAAAAGCUUGUGUUGUUUUAUGAUUUUAACCCAUAAAAGUAUAGAUCCAAGUACUCACAGUGGCUUUAGCUGAAGGAAACCUUUCUGCAAGAAAUCUUGUGCUCACUCCUACCGAGCAGCCGACAUCGAGAAUGUCAUUAAUCUCACAGUUCCCGGAGUACUUGAGAUGAUGCUGUUCAAUUGCAGUUAACCAAUUUCCGCGAACUAUUUUGUUAGCUUCUUCCACCGUAGAAGCUUCCGGUAUUGCUCGCUUUGCAAUAGACAUAGUUGCAGCUUCUGCUUCUGCAGCAGCCUAAAUUCAAAGACAAGCAGGUGUUAGGGCCUUUUCGCUAUUUAGAGGAAGAAAUUUAGAAUGAGAUGAGAGGAACAAAAUCAGAUUACCAGCCAAGAUAGGUUUCCGUCAUCGUACGCGUGAAACGGAUUUAAAUAAUCUGUUGAGAGGAAAAAAAAAAAAGUUUAUAUUGAUAGUAAGUUUCUAUGCCAAUAAUAUGUUUUCUUCUCCAGAGAAGCAGAGAAACUGUCAACUAGCUAUUGCAAUUAUAUGAAGAUAAAUAUAAUAAAAUUAAGUUUAUCUCAUGAUUUUUAUAGGUAAAUAGAGGGCAAAAAGUGAGACCAAUUCUAAAUUGGGUUUAACACACAAAACUAACCCGAGAAGAUGAGGCUAAAUAAUAAUGAUUUCCUCCACUGGACUGCUAUGAAUCACAUAAUUUACUGAAGAAAAUCAGUUAAAAAUCUCUCCUUUUUUUUUUUUUUGUUCCCCUCCCUUUCAAAUCCUCUCUUUGUCUCAUAUACUUGAAAUUCAGUUGUUGCUUCUAUCUCGGUACCCAGUCCUAUUUCAACUCGGCAUGUGAUAUGCAUAAUGCAUUCAAAUCCAGAAAAAUGAAAACACCAAAUCAGGAAAUUAAAGAGAGCUCACAGUCAGGGUACACAACAGAAGGGUCUCGAAUUCGCUCGAAUUCUUUGUGAACAUCCGAUUCGAGGAUCUCUCUCGCCAUGUCCCUCCACGGGAUGUUCGACUUCUCAGCCGUACUAUCCAUUCCAAAGCAACCACCCAAAUGGAAGGAAAACAAAAAAAAAACAAAAAAAACCAUCAAAAGCAAAGCAUAUAUAGAGUCACAAUGGGGGAAAAGAAAACAGUUAAGUGUAGCAGGGAAACAACAUCAACAACAACAACAACAACAACAACAACAACAAGUACCUGAUGAUAACUUGUCGGGAAGCGAGCUUCAUGACUGAGUAGAGGGGCUUGAAGGAGAUGAGAGCGCCAACGAGCCGCGACAGUGGCGUCUCUCCAGACCACCGCGGCCGGUCCAGCCUCCCCUCCUCCAUCUUCGCCGGCGGAGGCGUCGCGCGUGCGGUCGAUGCCACCACAAUGCCGCCAUUGCCGCCUCUGCCGCCGCAGCGGCCGCCGAGGAGAGCUCCGGUGGCUGGGCGGGGACAGUAGAGGGCCAUCAUCAACGGUCGGUCCAAAUUUUUAUUUAUUUUGUUUUUAUUUUUCGGGAGGGUGGUGAAUUUGAUGCAGAUUCGGUGAGAAUUGGAUUGAUCGGUUGACGGCGCGACGGGGGGAAAGAUUCGCUUGCUAUCCUAAACCGUCUUGGAGACCAGUAACACGCUGACACGUGGCUGACGAAAAGGUCCAAUAGUAAAUCUACUGGACGAGGAUAAAUGAUAAAAAAAAAUAAAUAAAUACUGUACUUCGUCUCUUAAUUGAUUAAAGUCGGUGACGAAGUCGCCUACAUUGCCGAAUCCUAAACGGAGCCCAUUAGCACCGGUUCUGUAGCGCCGCUGCCUCCUCCUUCCCCGUCUCGUUCUCUCGUCAACUUUUCUUUCCCUCCGCACCAUUACCAGGCGAAAGAAACCCUAGAAAGGCCCUAGAAAGCGAGCGGAGGCAAAUUCCGAAGAAACCCUAGAAAAGCCCUAGAAGUCGAUCGAUCGACGCCUCCCGAAAAGGAGCAGCGAUGAAUCGGCGGCAGGAGCCCUGCAGGAAUUUUCUUCGCGGCAGGUUCCCAUUCUCAUCCAUCUCUAUCUUUGAUUUGAUUUGAUUUUUAUUUUUUCCUUUUAGGAUGGAGGGGAGAGGAUUUUUGUGUAAUGUUCUAGGUACAUGAUGCAUAGGUAAAUUCAGAGUUGCUCCUUAAAAGAAAAAAAGGCUUCUUUGAUCCCUUCUGACGAAAAUCCUUUAAUUUUUGGCUUGAAAACUUGGAAUCGUAAUUUCAAAUCAGCUGUUGAUCGAAACAGAAAUAUUUCACCUACUAUGGUAGGAAAAAGAUAGGAACCAAACAGUGUGCUAGUUCAAGCUUUAUCAUCUGCUUGUUCCGCGUAACUUUAUCUCAUAAUUAUCGUCCUUAUCGAUGUUUAAGUUUUAGUUGUUCUAUAUUUUGCUUUUCUAGAAUAAUUAGAUGUUCACUUUUUUCUUUUUUUGUUUCCUUUUCAGUUGUAAAUAUGGAGCCCAAUGCAAAUUUUUGCAUGUAUCUCCGCAGCAGUCAAAAUCUAACUCUUUUGGGUUUGGAACUCAAAGCACUUCCCAAUCUAUACAAACAAGUCAACAGCAGAAGCCUAAUCCUUAUGGAUUCGGUGUACAGAACAACUCCCAAUUGAAAGGCGCAUCCGAUUUUGGUGCCAGAAAUCAGAGUCUAGCCAAGGUUAGUUUAUAGAGCUAUGCUUUUAUUUUGGGGUAAAAUGUAUUGGGAUUGCCCAUAUGCUAUCUUGAUAUUGUGACUUAGUCCCCGAUAUUCUCAUUCAAACACUGUAGUCUGUGCUUUUGUUUCAGGGUAACAUGUAGGGAUAAUCCUUGACUAUCCUAAUAUUGUGACUUAGUCCGGAACAUAUCAUUGAGACACUUUCACAACUUCUUCAUAUACUGUAAUAUCGUCUCUAGAUGCUAAUGGAAUCUGACGAGACAUGACUUUUUUCUAUAAAAUGACAUUCUUUUCAAGUACACUGAAGGAAGGGUGUGAUUUGCAGAAAAAGCAUAAAGUGAUCAUUUAACAGGAAAACUGAGAUUCUUUUGAUUGUCAGGUAUGAAAUUCCAAUGUAUGAGAAAGUUUUUUAAGGGUAAAACUGUUUAAGUAAAAGAGUUUACGGACUAUGUCGCUAUAACAGGACUCUGCAGGCAUUGUUCUACAGUUUACAUUUUUAUUUGAAGUCCUCAUGUUCCACGCUGCUAUAGUAAAUUUGGAAGUUUUCUGUUGAUUUCAGCUGUCAUUUUUCUUUUUUCAUAAUUAAUUAUCCGAACGAAUUGAUGUCGCUUCUAAAUAUUGUGAGCAGCCAUUUGAGAAUAAGUGGACUCGGUCCUCCUCUGUUGCUCCUUCGAAACAGACAGACACGCAGCCUCAAGCACCUGUUCAUAUGUGAGUCUCUCUCUCUCUCUCUCUCUCUCUCUCUCUCGCGCGCGCGCUCUCUCUCUUGCGUGUGUGCUCUCCAUUCUGCUUUCUAUCAGAAAUGGAUUACUGAAUCAGUUCCUGUGUUUCCUGCAGAUGUACAGAUCCUGAAUCCUGCAAGCGGCAAAUUGCAGAGGAUUUUAAGAAUGAGGCACCAAUCUGGAAGCUUACAUGCUACAGUCAUGGUAAAAAGUAAGUUGAACAAUUUUGAUAAUCAAUUUGAAUUCUCUAUGAUUCUUUUGAUCAUUAAGUUGAUUAUUUCACGUACUAUACCCCCAUCCCCCCCCCCNCCUCCCCCCCCCCCCCCCCCCCCCCCCUUGAAGGAAGACUACAUUCAUAAGCACAAUUUAACUAAGUGAUUUCCUAUUUGUGUUUUUACAAAUAGAUGUUUCUGCUUUCUGUAAUUUGUAUUUACUUUCUACUUUCAGUGGUCCCUGCGACAUUCUUGGUGAUAUUAGCUUUGAAGAAUUACGAGCUGUAGCAUAUGAAGAUGCCAGACAAGGAUGUAGCCUACAGUCAAUAGUAAGCUGAUAAUUUCUCCUCCCCACCCCAACCCCUCCAUCCUCUCGUUCCCUUUUCAGAAGUUCUUUCGUACAUAUAGAAUAGUCCUAAACCUUGCAGAUAGGAAUGCAUUGAUCUAUUACUGUGGGACUCUUUGGCCUGGAUUGAUUGCUUUCGACAAAUUGAAAAUCAACACAAUUCUAAAGUCACUAUCUAUGUUUAUAAGUUGGUGUAAUUACACAUAGCCAAGGGCUUACCUUUCUUUGUACAGGUGGAAAGAGAGAGGAACUUACUUAAUUCCAAGCUGCUUGACUUCGAUAAUUUGCUCCGCAAUCCAUAUGUGUUGCAAAAAUCUGGUGUUCCCAUGGUGGGCCCGUCUCCGGGUACCAACAGUGUUGCACCAUUUGGAGCUUCUCAAAGUAAUGCACCACCAGUGUUCUCAAGUUUUAGUCAACUUGGGGCAGUAACAAACGCUGGAUCCAGCUUCAGGCAAUGUUCCUUCCAUUUUCUGGACAAAUUUAUACUUUUCAUUAGUUUAUAGAAGUUACCGCAGCUUAUACACGAAGCAACUUCUAUUCAACAUAAUAGCUGUGAUUAGCGGUCAGUUUAUGUUCUUUAAUAUUCAUAUUACCUUUUUAAGUUUGUUUAUUCUUUUUCAGGGCCUCUGCACCAGGAACCCCAUCAAAUACUGUUUUUGGUCAGUCGAACUCUUUCCAGAAUCCGAGCCAAAAUACUACUUUUGGUCAGUUGAGCUCUUCCCAGAAUUCCAGCCCAAAUAAUAUUUUUGGUCAGUCAAACUCUUUCCAGAAUACCAGCCAAAGUACCAACUUUGGUCAGUCAAACUCUUUCCUGAAUACCAGCCAAGCUUCUGCUGGAUUUGAAAUGAAAUUUGGGCCUCCAGGUGUCAUACCAUUCUAUGAUUAUUCAUCUUUAUGUUUUCUCUCUUUUCUGAUUGUUUUAAAUUGUUUGAUUCCUGUCUGUGAUGUUUAUGUCUGUAAUGUUUUUGUUGACUUAUCCUAUGCUGAUUUGAUAGUACUGAAUGAAGUGUAUAAUCCAUUUCCCUGCAAAAAGGCUUCUGUUUCUUUUCUGAUAUUUGGGCUGUAAUUUCGCACAAUAUUCCCAUUUAUCCCUGUUUCACUUGUCGAAUGUUUUAUUUUUUUUUGCUGUUUAAGUUUUCUUUAUUCUGUUACAGCUACGCCUUAAAUUAACAAUCUCGUCAGAGUCUUUAAUCUGUAUUCUGAUAUAUGUGCUAUCAUAUUUAGGAAUAGGAAUUUAGGAAUUGAUGGCUUUUACUCCCAUCAGAGGAUGGCUAAAUUUAGUUGUCUGUUUUUUUUUAGUUCUGUCAAUUUUUUUGUAUGAAGUGUACUGCAAAGGGUUAACUGGGUGGUUCCCAAUGAAUAUAUUUUCUCAUGCAGUUGCAUUUGGUAGCCAAUUGGCAAGCCAACCCUUUGGAAGUUCCCCAGGUAUAGGCAUGUCGAACUUCAGCGCCGGUGAUUUCAAGGCUACAAAUAACCAGUUUUUCCCUCAACCCGGUAGUUCAAGCAGUCAAUCUAAAAGCUUUGAUGAUUGGCUAAAAGUUCCUUCUGAUAGCGCUAAUCAGUCUUCCAAUGAGUAAGUCAACAUCUGGUGAACUGGACAUAUUAAUUAUGAUCUUGGAACUUUAUGUAUAUAAAUCUUACAAUUCAUAGUAAAUAUCCUGCUGUCUAAAUUACUGGCUUUAAAAUGUAGUCAUAUAUUAUUCACAUCUUGUCAAUUAAAUUGCUAAUGUUUUUUGUGCUGCUUUCCUUUUUCCUCUCGCAGGGACACACACUCGGAAAGUAUUGAUGCUAGUAUUUGGUUAAAGAAAGAAUGGUCAAUAGGAGAGGUACAAAACUGUUCCAUUCUGUAUUUUUAAACUUGAAAUUGCUCAAGCAUUAUGAGUUUUAGCAAAUUCCGUUCUAUUAUUAAUUCUUAAAAAAAAAGAAAAAUCCUGUUCCAUUAUCCAUUAUUCCAUAUGAUAAUUGUGCUUCUGAUUCUUGCUGAGGUUUUCUCUAUGUAGGAAAUCUACUCAUCAAUCUAAGCUAUUCCUCCAUUUUACCUAAUAAAGGAGUGAGAAUGAUAUAGUAAUAUGAACUCUUCUUUUGCAGAUACCAGAGGAAGAGCCGCCCCAAAGGUUUUGUACCUAAAGGAUUUGAUAAUUUGAUCAGGCAAAAGGUUCUUAUCACUGAGCUUCAAAAUUCAGAGGAGCUUCACUGGGAAAUGCAUUGCUUUCUACUGCUGAUAUAGUGCUUUCCCUCGCACUCUUCAUUGAGUUAUUUUGUGGUCUGCUGCAGUUUCAGGGAAAGCAGAAGCUGAAAAAAGUCUAUUUUCUACUGCCAGAAGCAGAGGUAUCUGAUGCUAAGCGCGAGAAGCCCAACAUUAUGGUUUCAAAAAUAGCUCUUCUCCAGGAACCAGAAAGGAAGAUAACAAGAACAGAGAAAGUCUUAUGUUCACCAGAUGUUUGGUGUUGAUGCAUUACCAGGCAAUUCAUGCAAGUAAAAUUAGAGGCCUUCUUAGAACUUUCGGGGAACAGCAAAUGUGAAUGGGAUUUAUGAUGUAUAAAUAUUCAUGUAAAUUUAGGUGGCAUCUGGCUGGUGCUUCAGGAGUUGCUUGUAUCAAUGAUCCUGUCUCUCUCUCUCUCUCUCUCUCUCAUCUAUUUCUUUUUCAUCAUUUAUACUGAUGUGGUAAGCUUUGUUUUUCUUAUUUUUUCGGUAAUUAUAAUAUUACCAUCGCCCUCAAUGCUGCUAUCCUUGGAUAGUUCUUUUUCGGUUCAGCAACCUUUUGUGCUUGUGGUAUUGUGAGCACACAUUGUGCUUUUGUUAUGUGUAUCAUGCUUCGUUGUAUUGUGCGUGCAUGCUUGAAGGUCUGCGCAAUUGAUGCCCGCAUGUUCAUUGUUAGUAUUUCUACGUACUUGCAGCUGCGGUGCCUGUGUGUUUCGUGUACUUGUACGCAUGCGCCUGCACUUGCGAUGCUUUUUAUCCUCCUGCGUCGCGUGCUUAUCUUAAGACUGCAACAAGAAGUGUAAGGGACAAGCGUUGAAGGAAACAAGCCCUUGUGAGUGCACGAAGUAAUGUUCGCAAAACAAGCAUGCUAGGAGAUUUGGCCAUUCCAAUUCAGCUUCAUUUUGAUUCAGGCUCUUGAGUUCGGUUGAGAACCAAAAAUGUUCCAAAUUUAUUUCUCUAAAAAUAAAAUAAUAUAAUAUAAUAUAACCAGGAAGAUACAAUUAUCUCCAGUCAUCAGGUGAGCAUUAGUAGUAGAACUCGAGGCACCAGAAAACCACUCUACAUUGCAAUAGAUAAGUGACUAAUUUUUUCAUAUACAUUAUGCUUCUCAAUGCCCACAAAGGAGUAAACACAAGUCCUAGAAAAAUAGCUGAUAACUACAGACAACCACACAAGAACCUAUCCCCUGCCAAAUGGGCCAAGAAUGCGCCCGAUGAAAUUUGAAUAAUUGAAGAGGGCAAAUUAUCAGGAUGGUAGCAGAGGUUUCUCUAAUAUGGAGAGAGAUUCUUGUGGUUUUACUAAUAAAGAGAGAGAUUCGUUGUGCUGCGAAUGCUUCGUUGUUGAUCGGCUAUUCCUUUGGCAAGCCGCGUUUCAAUCGGAAUCAUUUCUACUGGUUUUCCGGCAGAAGAUGUGCCACCACUAAGUUUUGGGGUGAACCAUCUCCUUAGGGCAAGACCAUUUAUUCUUAUUUUUCCGUGUGAUUCGCCCCCUUGGUAAGGAAUCCCCAAUCUCCUUAAGAGCGAACCAACUGCUUGACCAAGCCUGCAUUUACAACUUUAACUCAGUCCACAUACAAUAGCCAACUUUAAAAAAAAAGUCCUUUGGAAUUGUAAUAAUGCAGGAAGUUGAUGAUUCAAGAAGGCAUAGCAAUUUCUUUCUCGGGAUAGUGAUAAAGAGAGUAGCAUUUGAGUAUGCAUAUGUGCAUGAACAGCACUAUGUUAUAUUAUCAACCUGUGUCUUUUGGAAUAGUUGUAAACAGAUGUUAGGAAGUAUAGUUUAUAAAGCAAAUUUCUAAAAUGAGAGUCAACUUCUAAGAAUGGGCUCUAAUUAAUAAAGUGAAUAUGCUGAAAUUUUUGUUUCAGUGACUUGAAGUUUGCAUAAUGUGAUAGUCCUAUUACUAUAAACACCAUAUCUUAUAGCUGUUGCAGACUCGCACAGAAUAGUAAAUGAACUACUUAUACCAAAUAUAAGUGCGGUUGAAUAGAUAUAUUAAUAAAUCCAUCACCUUCCAGCUAUGUUAACUGAUUUUUCUCCUUCAACAAAUCCAAUUUGUGCCUUUGCUGUUGGUAAUAAAACUGUGAUGCUGGGUAAUUUCGCGCCUGUGGAAAUGGAUAAUACUAAAUAAUUAAUUGCAAAAAAAAUAGUAUUAAAGUACUCUGGUGCACAGACUCUCUAGAAGCAUCAAAAAGAGCUAUAGCCAGUAAACUGUAUUUUUUUUGCUUAUUAAAUAUAGCAAGAAAAAUUAAAUGUUUGCCAUUUUUUAUUCAAGAGCAGCAAUAUUUGUUAAGUCAAAAAGCAUACAUGUAGGGUAUACAUGAACAUCUGAAUUUUGUAGGAUAUCUGCAAUAGGUGAGGCCAUAACGGUAAAUGAAAAAUAACUCUACAUGAGCCUUAUAUCAUGUCAACUAUCAGCUAGUACUAACACCUAAAAGCUUCAACUGAUUAAUAACAACAACCGUGCAAAACUGAUAGGUAAGGAACAAAAGAAUUACAGUAGACUUGUUACCUGCAGCUAGUCGAUGCUUCAAACUUUUCAAAGUUGUCAAAAGAUAAACCUGAACAUACAUUGAAGAUGGAAUCAAAUGGAUUAUGAAGAAAUAAUAUUUUGCCUUCCAUAGUUAUUAUUAUUCUCCUUGAAUUGAAAAUGCCACCAAUCAAGUGUAAUAUUCUCGCUAGACAAAGAGGAAAGUGUCGAAUCAACAUGAAGCAACACACUGAAAACUGACAUACUAUACUCGUACAUAGCAACUCCUAGCAACGCUAGAACUAGUAUGAGUAAGCAAAUAGUAAUUGUGAAAGUACGAUGCAAAUCCAAUAGUUUUAUAAGAAGACCAUUGUAAUUACAUUUUUGUGAACUUGUAUUGUUAGGAAAAGAACAGAAAGCUACCUUUACAAGAUCCCUCGUACAGUCAUUGUAUAUUAUUUCCUAGCAGGAGCAUGGUGAAGAGGGAAUAAAUAUGUGGUCUUAAGAUUCAAGGCCUUGUAUUAGGCAUAAGAAUCCUUCAAAACUAGUAGCGUAUUCUGUGCACAACAACAAAUGGUAAUAAAGAAUGUAUUCUCCCACAGAAUUUCUAUCCACAAGUUCCAUUCUAUCAUUUAUCAUGAAGCAGAAUCUAAUUAACUAUUACCUCACAGUGUGCAAGGAAAAUUCACUUAUCAUCCAUUACAUUUAAGAGAAUAAACAAUAUCAUGAGAAGAGGAAAGGUAGAGGCUUAAAAGAGUGUUUACCGUUAUCUCAUCAUAGUCUAUUUCAUUUAAGUAGAUAAUUCACUGAUCGUUUUAUUUACAAAGGACUAGUGGGCAUGGCAAAAAUUCAUUGAUCUAGGAUGGCUACCUCAACGGUAUGGAGCUGUAGUUUCCUAGCAUCGACAACAAUCGGGCUUUCUUUAAAGGAUAAUCGUGGAACUACUCCAAAUGAAGCAGCUUCCUGAGAAUACAUUAUUGUCAGGUACUCGCUGGUGAUGGAAAGAAAUUGAAAGAGAAAUAUUAAAGAAAGUAACUUUUGUUAUGCAAUACCUCGAGUAUCGAAAAAGAACGGGUAUCAUACUCCCCAAAUCCAUCAAGCACUGAACUUAUAUUCGAGGAUUUUGAGGCAUCAAAGCUGAUCCCCGAGUUCUCAAUAAGCUUGUUUCUCAACGAGGAAUCAUGAGGGAAUUUCAAGCAACCUAAAACUUGAGAAAUAACAUCAAUUGUAGGCAGUAGACUGGCCGAUAUUGCUUCACGAUAUACUGCAAUAGCUAAUGAUGUCCUGCAAUACUUUACCAAUUAGAAACCGCACACCCGAGCAAUGUUACAUAGGAUCUUCUUUCAAAAAUAGACUGAAUCUUGAAAUUUGAUGCAAGUCUAGUAGCAUGCUUGACUACUUGCUAAUAUGAGCUAUGGACAAAAGUUCAAGGACUUGGAUCUCUAAGCUAAACAAGUCAAUGAAAUGACGCUGACAUUCUUAAUUUAUACAGUAUACAAAUCUUCCUAAUAAUUGAUAAUACAAUAGGUGACAUACAGCUUUUAACUUGUCCCAAAACAAACUAGUACAGGCUUUUGUGUUUAAAAAUCUUCAUGAAACAGUUUAGCGGAAGUUAUAUCACAAUGGAAAAUAUGUAAUCCGGGAAUUAGAGGUCGUUAAAUUAAAAAGAUUGAACAAACUAACAUCUUACAGAACAUAUCUAUAGCUCUCAGGAUCACUCAGAGAAGUACUGUACCAUUUGUUAUCAAUUUGUGGUCUUCCGGAGUUGAACGUGACAACAGUAUUACCAAGUGAGCAUUCGUUCUCAAAGCUUUGUAGGCACAAACCUUCAACAAAGUAAUUUCAUUAUGGAAGCUGAUUGUAUUUACAUCCGAAAGGAACAGAAUUAAACCCACCACAAGAACAUAUAUUUGAUGACAAUGGGAAUAGCACAGUUCCACCCUAUCCCCAUAGAAUUGAUUACCAUGGAUAGGGCAGCAGAUGGGGAUAUUCAGACUCAUGGUGGAAUAUCCACUAGCUAUAAAUGUGAUAGUUCGAAUCGUGGGGAUAUCUACCACUGUCCCCACCUCUCCCUUUUGCUAACACCACAUUAAGCUACUAUAAAUGUGAAGUAAACAGCAAAUCAAGCCUUGUCAAAUAAACAGACACAAUCUCUGAUAGAAACAAUCUAGGAAACUAAUCAAGAGCAAUUUCCUUCAAUUUUAAGUAGCUAAAUAAUGGAUUGACUACAGACGAACUUACCAGUGAGGCAGCGUACCAUAAUGAGACUUAGACGAAUGCCAUCAAUUUUAGCUUGCUCAAAUAGCUUAAAACCCAGUUCUGCUUCACCUUUCCUUUAAAUCCAGAGAUUAAUAAUCUGACCGCAAUCAAUAAAUUAAAAAAAAGCGGCAUAAUUCAGAAGUUAUGAUUAUUACUUUUCACAUGCUACUAUAAGAACGGAAUACGUGAUGUCAUUUGGGUGCACUCCUAACUUCUUUGUUUCAUUGAAAACCUGAACAGACUUCCAGAUCAGGCCACCAUCGCCUGCAAUUUUGUUGUAUAAUCAGCUUAAGUCUGGGGAGUAUGUGGAGUAACCGCUAUGUAAUUCACAAAACAGAAUUCCAAAUUACCAAAAGAUCAUAAUAAAUAAAUAUUCAGAAAAUAGUAACUUUGCUACAAUGUAAAAUGGUAACUAAUUCAAUUUUUACUUAUUGUAAUCUGAUGAGAUGGCUAACAAUUUUAUCUAGCACCUAAAUGUAAUAUCAACUUCAUGUCUCUGGAAGCAAACAAUGAGAGAGAUAUAGCAUUUACCUCCGACUAAGUUAUCCAUGUUUUUUAUAAGAGUCACAACCAUUAGAAUGCUAAUCCUCCCUCCCUUUGUCUAACUAAUUCAUGUUUUCCUAAUGCUCCCUCUCGUUGACUAAGUUAUGCAUAUUUUUUAUUAGAGUUGCAACACACUAGAAUGCUAGUCUGUCCGUCCAUCCCCCACCCUACCAUCAACACCUAAACCACUACUGCUAUGCAACCUAUGCACCAUAACUUAAUAGAAUAACAUCGCUGCUGGUUUAAUCAAAAGAAGUUAGUAAUUUUUAAGUUUUGGCAUUGAUCUAUUAACACAAACAGAAUUAAAAGAGUACUAAGCAAAAGCUAGAACAGAUAUAAAGCGACCAAAAUAGUUUUCUGGGACGAGAAGAGGCAUACAUAAGGAGGUGAUUAAAGCAUUUAGCAUUGAUACUGUUGGAAGAAUGUUGCUUGAUUUGAUCUCCUCAUACAGCUCCAGUGCCUUUUUCCAGUUUUUUGCCUACAUAAAAGCAGAUACUCCGUAGUCAUGACAACAGGGUUCAAGUCAAACAGAACCAUAUGAGAAAUAUACUGGAAAUAACUUGCUAACUACUCUUAGCAUAUUAGCAUCAGAGAAGCAUAAGUAUGCAGAAGAGCAAGCAUAUAAUUUCUUCGGUGAAGCAAAUAGACAUUGUGAUUGUCACUUUCCCCAAUGAUAGGUUCCAUUGCCCUGUGAAAUAGGUUUCAGUCCCUUAACCUACAAUAUGUCAUCACUUUUGCCUCCAUUUUUAUUCUAGAUCUAUCACUUUCCUCACGGGUUAAUGGGCUGCUUAAAUAUCAGGAAGAAAUGUAAAAAUCAUGACAUCUGUAGAGAGAGGCCUUCUUCUAAAGUCAAACAAAACAUGAGUUAUCGAGGAUUGUUGAGGGUAUGGGAAGAGAAAAUAACUCCAAAGUCGUAUGAGAAUUUGGUUUCAUACUCAACGACGUACAUUACAACAAGCUCCCAUUAAGGAAUUAUAUGACAUGUUUCCAACUCGUAUUCCUUGUCUUUUAGCGUCUUGUAUAAUUUCAAAGGCAGCAUCAACCUUCCCAGCAUGCCCAGCCACGUCUACGAUGGUGCUAAGAAACAUCUGCAUAUAAAACCAAAUAACUUAGAAUAAAUGAAUCUUUCACUUAUUUUCAAAAAAUUAUGGUGUAAGGAGAGAUUAUUACCUCAUCAGGUGUCACCCCAUUCCUUUUCAUAUCAUCAUAGAUUUUAAGCGCAAAGCCAAGAUCAUCAUUCAAGCUACAACUCCUGACAGCAAUCGUGUAAACUUCUGAGGUGCCUUUUAUAUUGUAGUGAUUAAGCAUCUUAUACACUUCUCGUGCUCGGUCAACCUAAGGAUAAAGAAUGAACUGAUCUGAUAUUAGGAAGACAAACUUAAGUUCAACUAACCAUUUUUAGGACAGUUAUAGAGACCUGGCCACCCUGAAUACAUGUCUUUAUCAAAGCUCCAACUGUAACAUGAUCUGGCUCUAUUGGCUUAGGCUCUGCCAUCAUCUCUGCUAAGACAUCAAAAGCACGAUGAACAGCUCCUGAUUCACCACAUGCAGUGAUCAAGGCAUUGAAAAUAACUCGAUCAGGCUGCACUUUCUACUGUAAAUAAGAUAUCAUUAGGUAUAAAGAAUAAACCCAUAGUUAAUCUAAAGUAUUCAAAAUGAAGAUAUAUCAAUACACAUAUAUAUCACUGCAAAGUUAUCGAGUGACACAUACACACAUAUCCCUGCAAAAUCUAUAUAUUCAUAUAUUCCCUUCAAAAACUUAAUUUCUCGCCAUAUACCCUUGUAAUUACAGAUAUAUGUCCUGCUUUUAAAUGAUAUUUCUAAAGCAAAACCCACUUCCACCCAUAAAUCGGGACACUUCCCAACUUAAAAGUUCCGUAAAUUGCACUUUCAAGCAGCAUAAAUGAUAAUUCAGACAGAGUCAUAUAUGUAUAAUGAUGAUUUUGCAGGAAGAUACGUACAAAAUUGCCUUAGAGGGAAAUACGACUACCAAUUGCUCUUAGGAGCCGUUUGGUUGCAUGCAGUUGCAACUGCACUGCAGUUGUAACUUCAUGCAAAUACAAAUUCGGUGUUUGAUUUGACGUAUUUAACUUCAACUGCUGCAGUAGGAACUGCAGGAGUUUUAACUACAGUAGUUGGAAUUAUGCCCAAAUUGGCCGCAGUUUCAACUGCAGUAUUUGGAGAGAGUAACUUUAAACAAAAGGUAUGCUUACCUCCUUACUUAUUUUUUAAACAAGAAAUAUAUAUUUUUUUCACAAUGGAGAUAAUCUCACCAUCAUAUAUAUAUAUAUAUUAUGAUAAAAUUUUAAAAAUCAUUUCCCAAUUGCAUGGAACCAAACAAAUUAUGUAUAGUUGUAGCGCUUUCUACUGCAUCAAACCAAACAGGAUGCAUGAAGUUGCAACUGCUGUAUUUCCAAUUGCAUGUAUCUCCAACUACAUUGUAUUUAUAAUUACAUCAAACCAAACAACCCCUUAGUGUAGCCAGUCAAAAGAACUAGAAUAUAAGAAACGUAAACUAAUUUCGAAUCAUACCUUGGAUCUCAUGAUUCCAUAAGCACCAAAUGCUUUUGCCAAUUGUCCAGCUCUGGCACAACCAUCAAUGAGUGCACCGUAUGUAUUGGCAUUUGGCUCUACGCCAGCAUUAACCAUCUCAUGGAAAACCUAACAAUAUCAGUGAUAUUAAUUAAUUGCCUAAAUCUAGAAUAUGACAAGACAACUACCAAGAAUAUACAUAUCAGAAUAAGGGUAGUGGGUAACAAACCAUCAACAACAAUAUGUACUGAUCAAUCUCCUACUUCAUUAAAAUCCCAUUCACGACUCAAUGGCAACUAAUCUUGGGCCGCAAAGGCUUCUCGGUUUCUCCCUACCCACAGCUCACUGAUCUAGGCUGGUUUGCUAGUUAAUUGCACAUGUGGCCUCACAUGAUGUAUGAAGGCUCUCCAUAUACAGUUGCAUAGAGAAAUGCGAUCUGCUUAUUUGGAAGGCAGGAGGUAUGAUAUGGCACGUGUCUCUCAAUGUGACCCGCCCACAUAGAGGGACUGCAUAUGGCAUUGAGGUGCAAUAUACACACAAAAUCAUUAAUGUGGCUGGAUUAAUUACUUCUAGAAGUUUGAAGUAUUGUGAGAUUAAAAAAAAAAAAACAUGACAAAUAGGUUUAGAAGAGCAGAUAAAAAACUCAUGUUUGAUAGACUGACAGCUAUAUUAGAUGGCCAUGUGAAAAGUUGCCUAUAUCUCUGUAUUACAUGCCAGUAUUUUGUAAGAAUAUUUCCAUCUUCCUAUAGUCACUACUAAUCUAACUCUAAGAAGAAACUAAAGGUUAGUGUUCUGAUUAUACAAUUGCUUAGAUACAAGUAUUCAACAUGAUUUGUAAUUGCUUAGAUACUUGCAUUUGACAUAACUAAGUCGAGCUGCAUAAAUCACCAUACAGAGCAGCUAAUAUUGUUGUGUAUGAUACGAAAACGAACUACACUAAAAAGAAAAAAUCUACAAGCCAUUUUAUAACUUUGAAUAAACAAGAAGGAAUUGAAAGUCACUUUGUUCCAUGCUUGUAUACUUGGCUAGAUUACCAUACUUCAAACAUGGCAUCAACUUUUCGACUUUUGGCACAGGUCGAUAUAAGCGUGGUAUAAAGUUUGCAAUCAGGUUUCAACCCAGCCUCCUUUAGCAGUAGCAUAACCUGGAAUGCUCCUACAAAGAGUAUAUGAAAAACAAGUAUUAAUAGGCAAAAGUGAAUCAAUCUGCUUUUAACGAAAAUAAAAUAAUUACCAUCAAAGUCCUGUGAGCUUGCACACACAGACAAUAGCAUGUUGAAGGUGCUCAUAGUUGGAUUCCUAAUCAAUUUGCCAAACCGGAUUGCUUCUUUUACAGCCUUUUGACUCUUGCAGGCAUUCAAAAAGCUUUUCUGAUGAACCUGGAAAGAUGGUAGAUAUCAACAAUCUGCACAGAAAGAGGCGAGAACAUAGUACGAACAAAUAUACUGCAGAAAGAAUAGAUACCUUUUCCAUGUCCAACAACCCUUUUCGGUCCAUGCUCUCUAGCAAGUCUAGACAAUCCUUCAACCUAAUUAUUAGAAAUACAUAGAAGUUGAAACAAUUCUUCAAUUUCAAGAUGACCAAAAUCACUUGGAGAGCAUUGAAUACCCAAAAUCAACAAGAGAGUAUUGAAUACUCUAGGUUGCUUUUGUUUAACGCAACGAGUUAGAAAACACUAUUUUAUAUCAGAAUGGAAUAGUACCUUCCAUCCCUCAACAAGCUACUGUAGGUUCUUAAAUAUGCUGAUGGAUCAUUUGUGCCUUUUACGUUGGAUUGUGGAUACAUAGACACAGUUCUACUGUUAUUUCCAUGAGAGAGACUUCUUCCUUCACCUUCUGUAAAAUCGCGGACUUUCUCUAUUUUCUUUUCCUUACCUACAGGACCUUCCCUUAAGCAUGCGAGAGGAAACCGGCCUUCUGAAUAAAGAACAAGGAAAGAACAGCAACACCUAGAAAUUGUCAAGAGCUUGAAAAGUGAAGAAUAUAUAAGUCAAAGGAACAUGUACCAAUUCCAAGGUUCGACCUGCCAUAGAACGAGAACCUUCUCCACAGAUAUUGGAAACCUUCAGUGCAUUCAUUGAUUGAGAGGAGCUAAUGCUGUCUUGAAUAAGAUAAAGAGGUUCUGGCAUCAAACUUCUAAAGCAUGAUAUAGUAGUGAUCUCAGGCUCUUCUUCAUUGCAAGAAUAAAUCUCUUUUGCGACUUUCUUCAGAUAUUCAUAAUUGUUCGCUAACUCAACACUGUCAGCAUUCACAGGCUCUAGAUUAGAGUCUUGAGUAAUUUCCCUCUGUAUCUUAUUCAUUGCUAGAGAAGGAGAACCAAAGUUAUCUUCAGCUAUCAUAUUGGGCAGAUCAGAGAAUGUUUCAGCUUCCUCUUGCUUAUCUCCCUCUACAGUAUCGGUAAUGAUAAAAGGAGGAAUAGAACAACUGGCUUGAAGUCCUUUAGUCCCACCAUCCGCAGAAACGCCAAACUGAGGCUUAAGGAACUGUGCAUCCAACAGCUGAAAAGUGUACAGCUCACAUUAGAAAAUUUCAUCAGCUUUUUUAUCCAAAAGCACUAUGCCUUUUAUAAAUGUAGGACUAUACAUUAGUACUAAUAAGUUGGGCUUAAACAUUUCGCACUGUGUGAUCAAGGCCCAUCAAGUUAUUUAUACUAGGGCAACUCACGGUUUACAAGAAUCACUCAAGAACAAUCUGCUACUUAAUUGUUCAAACAAGAGAAAAUGCUUAAAACUAGGGAUGAGUUAUCUCCGUUUUAAGAAAUAUGGUAAAUCAGCCAAAGAAAUAAGAGCUUGAAGGGACAGAAUUUGUAGUAUCCCGACAGUCCCAAAUCAAAAGGAAAAGACAAUUCUGAUGUUCAUAGCAUCUGGAAGGCCGGAAGUGGAGCAUUUCCUCCUGAGAAUAUAAUGGCAUUGAAGAAGCAACAGAGGGAGCGAAUAAGCAGCCAAUGGAAAGAGAAAGACUAGUCCCCUAAAAAUUGCUUGACACAAUAUUAUCUACGCACAGGGGUAUUUCCAUCAUCUCGAACUAAGAUAUGCAUGAAAGGACAGCAAUCCUAUGCCUCCAUGAUCAUAAAGGCAUACCUACAUGCUUCUCACUUAGUUUAGGCCAAACCAAAUAGUCUACUGUUGAAAAUUGAAUACUAAAUAAGUGUCCACUAGUGGCGUAAACUUUUAAAGAAAUAUAGGUUUUUCAAAUGAUAUCAUAGUAGGAUGUCUGGAGUUCAAGUCUUCCUAGACUCAUAAUCCCGUUUAAUUUUCUUCCAUUUAACUCAGUCCACAUCUUUGGCCGGUGAAAAAGUCUUGUGCCCACAAAUGAAGAAGAGCAUCAAAUAUAAAAUACUAAAACACCAUUCUUUGGAGUCAUAAGAUUUUACAGAAACCAACCGUUCCUAGAGCAAGUGGCAAAGGGCAUGGUGGUGGUUGGUACCCGAGGUCUAAAGUUCGAAUCCUAGUUGAUUCACAUUUCUAGCUAAAUUUAUUUCUAAAUAAAAUAAAUGAAAUGGGUAGCGUGCUACCUAUCUCUCUCUCUCUCAAAAAAAAAAAAAAAAAAAAAAAAAAAAAAAAAAAAAAAAAAAAAAAAACAGAAGAUUCGUGCUAUUUGCUUCGAAUUCAGAGCACCCUCUGAUCAUAGGGCGUCACCCAGGACAAUGGGUGGGCCCUACAAUCCACCGUGCUCUAAAUUCCGAGCACCUAUUCUUUCUCUUUAGACGGAAAAAAAAACGAUUUUUUUUUACUUUCGCUUGAUGCAGCAGAGUGAGUACAACAAAUUAUAGUCACUUUAAUUCCCUACAAUUACACAGAAAAACAACAUCCGAUUCGCCUGAACACACACAGAACUCAAGCUAGCGCAGAAUUAAGCAAGAAAUACAGAUAAAAAUAACAAUGAAAAAACUUUAGCAAACUCACUUCGGAAGAGUACCGCUUCCUAGCGAGGUAGGCCACCUGGAGAGCUGCGGCGGCAGCAAUGGCGGCGGCGACGACAUGAACGGAGCUCUCAGAAAGUGAUUCAUGGAGCGAGCACCUAGCGUUAAGAACCCGGAACCCUAAUUUGCGGCACCUGUGUCGAGAUCGCCGUCCACAGGUUCUCAGGUGGUGGUGGUGGUUGUGGCGAACGCCAAUGAGGAGGUAAGAGGAAGAGGAAUAGGAGGGAGAAGGGAAGGGGAUGAUGGAGGGGAGUAGGGUUUGUGGUUUCGGGGAGAAGGUGAUCUCCAUUUUUGUGGGGGGAAGAGGAUUAGGAGAGGAGACGAAUGGAGAGAUGGAGAGGUGGAGAAUUUUGGCGGAUAUUUCUAUAGGUAGUUAGAAAUAUCACGUGCAAACCACGUGAAAGGAGAUAUCUAAAUAACGGUAUUUUUCCCCAAAACAUUAAAAAUAAAAUUUAAUCAUCAUAAUAUAAAGUUAAAUCUUACUUCAUUAGAAAAAUAAAUGACAUAUAGUUGGAUUUUAUGGCAAAACUAUAAAUUAAGCUUACAUAACCUAUAAACGCACUAAAAUUUUACAAAUUUCUUUUCUUUUUAUUGCUUUAAAGAUAUUUCUUUGUCAUAAUAUUAUCUUACAUAUUUAGCCCAAUUGACCCAUAAAUAAUGUUGCGUCCUAAAUCUUAUCGCGUCCAACUCAACCGAUCCAAGAAUAUGAAUAAAAAUUUUUAUGUAAGUUUCGGUCAUAUGCUUGUUCUGUUUGUGGGUUGGCCUGCUAUCUGAUAGAGCUGAUGGGCCGGCCCGAUCCAUCUAUGUUAUGUCGAAAAUUGAUAUUAAUACAUUAUGUUAGCAAAUUUGGUGAUAUUAUAUUUGGUGUUUUUGAAGUUGUUUAGAGCAUUAAACAAGCACUGAAGUGGCCUAUAUGAGGUUGUUGUGGGAUUUAGGGCCUUUUGGUUUUGCAGCAGGGUAUAUUGUAGUUCGAUGAAGUAUUGUCUGAAAAAAAGCUUAAAAAAUAGAAGCUGCAAUUAAAACUUUUGCUUUUAAUGAAGUAGAAAAUUGUUGAACUGAUUUUACUAAAAAUCUUUUUUGUAUUUUCAAAAUGUCAGUUAUCAAUAAAUCAGAAUGAUCAAUUGAAUAGAGUUAGCAGUAAGUCGAAAUCAAAUGAGCAAUCAAAUCAAAUAUCGAACGCUAUACGUGGGUUUAAUGUUGUUUACCGGGCAUGUUAGCUAAUGUCAUGAGAGAGUGUUGUUAAAAUAUUUAUUUGACAGUGGUUAAAAACAAUAAAGUAAUCAGCUCUAUAAAUAAUCCUCCAGAGUCCUCUCUGUAGCUACUAUUAACUUAAAACUUUUCCAAGCUACAGUACUAACCCUUUAUUAACUUAAACUUUUUCAAGCUACAGUACUAACCCUUUAUAUAGGAAUCAAAUAAUAAAAAACUAGAAUAGUGGCACUGUGACACCUACCCUAUAUACUGAGUAGCCAUAGUGACAGAUACGGAGAAGCCCAAAAAUAGUAAUAGUCCUUUACCUAAAAUGUGGCAAUGUAUCCCCACCUCAGUAUGGAAUGGGGUCACGACUAUUACAUAAAGUAUCCAUUAAUUUUUGUGCCAUUAAUCCACCCUCCCCCUCCAAUUCAUAAAAGCAUUUGUUUGUGGUCACAUCACCAAUAUUCUACAUGCCUUAAAAGAGUACAGAGGGGAUAUCCCACAGGUAGAUGAAGGGGAACAUCAAAGACACUACCCAGAAACACCAAUUAAAGCUGAUGUUGAAAGGCUUAAAAGCUUUUGAUCUUGAUUUUGAGAGGAAAAUUUUCUAGGGUGGUAAGAUGGAAAGGGCAUCACGCAAUGUGAAAAGGAUUUGGGGUUGUUACAAAGCGGAACUGACCGACAUUAAUUAUCAUUCACAAUUGAGAAAAUCUCGCACACACCGAAGCCAACUAUCCUAGAAAACCAAAAGAUUUUAUUGAUAGAUCUGAUAUUAUUAUAUUUAAAAACCAUCUAAUUAAAUGUAAUCUUAACAUUCAUCGCAUAUCUUAUAAUAUUGCGGGAGCGGAUUGAUAGAGAUUUCACUCGUGUUGGAAAGGUAAAACCCGCAAUCUAGUAAAACUAAGUGAGCUUCUAAUUGAGCUUUCGCGCAAUGUUAUCCAUAUAUAUNAUUAUACUAUUCAACCAACCACCCACUCAACCCUAGAGGAUCCACAUCAUCCUAACCACAUAUUUUUUAAUCUAAAGGCCAAAAACUUAUAAGCACCAAUGUCUUGGUACUUUUAAAAAUAUAGUAGUUCAAUUAUAUAUAUAUAUAUAUAUAUAAAAGAUUGAAAAUUUUUUAUUUUUUUUGUUGUUUGUCUUAUUCUAGUCAACUUAAUGUAUUUAACCCAAUCCUGUGGGGGAUUGUGGUCGUCUAAUUUUAGUGGGCCAUCUCUAGAAAUAUGACAAGCAUGUGACAUUUUCUUCAAAUCCAUGCCCCCCGUGUCAUUGGACGACCCCAUAAUGUCAAAAAAAAAAAAAGGAAUCAUCUUUUUUGAAUAAAGAAAAAGAAAAAAAAAGUUACCAUUUAAUAAUUAAGAAUAAUAUAUAUGAGUCCGACUGGAAUAUUAUCGAUAGCACCAAGCAUUUUGUGCUAUCAAAUUUUCCACCGUUAGAUUUAAUUUUUUGAUUAUUUUUAUUCGUUAAAUUAUACUAUUAAACUAAUAAUUUACUCAAGCCUAGAAGACCCACAUCAUUCUAACCGUAUAUUUUUUUAUUCAAAGACUGAAAACCUAAUAGCAUCAAUAACUUGUGUUAUUAAUAGUGUUCCAACCUAGUUAUAAUAUACAUAUAUUAGAAAAAAAAAUUGAGAGAAUAAAAAAGUUUAUACUUAAGAAAAAGAAAAGAAUGGAGAAGGUUAUGCUAUGCGAACUACCUUCAACAACCGAAAGUUAUGCAGGAAUUUUGGACAAUGUAAACGAAGUCGGAAAGUGCUCAUGGAAUGAGAAUAUUACUAGAAAUUAAACAUCUCCAGUCAAUAUAAAGGAUUUGUAUAUUGAAAAUUUUAAAUUUUAAUCAAUAUUGAUAACUAGGGUUAUUAAGAAAUUAACAAUAUUGAAAGUGCCAAAAUUGAAGAUCAAAACAUUUAUGCUAUGUGUGGAGAGGAGAUUAUGAGAAGAUAUGUAGAAACUAAGCAUGAGUUAAUUAUGAAAGCUUAUGUAACUGUCACACAAUAUAUAAUUAGUGUGUACAGAAUUUGAGUAAUUCAGCUAAGUGUAUGUGUGUUUAUGUGUAUGCGCAUUUUUAUUUUGGUAAUAUAAGUUGGAUAAUUAUUAAAAGAAAUUGCUCAUUCACAUGGAAGUUUUGAAUUUUCUUACAAUUUCAGUGAUCUUGAAACUUAAUUUUUUUAUUAUUAUUAUUAUUUAUGAGAUCCACUUGGCCUGCACAAAAUACCACUGAAUUCCUACUGGGCCACAUAAAUGCGGCCGUACAUAUAUAGAGCUCCUUUCUGGUCUCUCUGUUAAAAUUUUCACCACUUUUUAUUGAGAUUUUAUAAUAUUACUCUCUAAAUCUCUAAAAUUGCAUGGUACUUCUCCACAAUUUGUGCAUGAUAAUUAUUUUUUUAAAAAAAAAUCAUAAGUUGUGCAUAUCAGUAUCUUAUAUCAUCUUUGCUAGUAUUACUUUAUAUAAUAUUAUAUAAAUCAUUCUUUAACAGAAGAUUGUUCAGAUACUUAUAUCUUUCAAUGUUUCUAGAUAAAUAAUAAUAUUGAUAUUUUUGAGAAUAUUAAAAGUGGUUAAAAAAAGAAUGAAAGAGCAAAAAAAUAAUCUAAGGACUUGUUUGGUUCAUCUAUUUUGGGUAUGGAAUGAAAAUCGGUUUGAUCAAAUCCAAUUAAUUUUGUUUGGUUCGCAUGAAUCGAUUUGGGAUUUCUAUUUUGGACUGGAAUGGGAAUGACCCAUUAGCCUUCAACUUGAUUUCGAUCUUCUAGCCCGGAUUGAGAUUUCAUUCCGGAAGCCCACUAAGUUCUCGAAGUCCAUGUGACCAUCUCAUCCUCCUUCUCUUCACCUCUUUCUCAACAAAAAAAAAAAAAAUUAUCCUCUCUCAAAAUCCUAUUCCUAACCCACAUCAAUAAAAAUUUUUAAAAAUAAAUUUGAUUUUUUUUUUGAAAAAUUUAUUAGAGAAUAGUAUUAUAUUUUUCAUAAAUUUUAAACAAUAUAAAUUUAUAUUUGAGAGUAAAAUUAGUAUUAUAGUAUUCUAUAAUUUUUUUAGUUUAUACGAACCAAACAAUAAAAUAUAAAUAACUCAUUUCAAUUUCUAAUCCAUAAAUAAAUCAAACGUCUUGAAAGAGUGGGCCAUUCUAAUUAUCAUUUCAGUUUAUUUCCAUUCUAUUAUUCAUUUCAAUUCCACCCUCAAAUCAAACGAGCCCUAAAUCUAAAGUAAGAGAAGAUUUCAAAGAGUUUAUAGAUUUCGAAUAAAGUAAGAAAUUUAAAAGCAAAAUAGGUUUAAGU
rnacentral:lncRNA from 1 species